rnacentral:lncRNA from 1 species
CAUGAACUUCACUCUGAAUUUCUCCUGAAAUUUUAAUUUAAAGUUUACUUUUUCAAGACUCAUUUUGAAUUACAGAGAUCAUCUUCUACCUGUAGCCUCUUUUGGGAGGAUUUCCAAAAGAGUAAGUUGACUUUCUGGGAUAUGAUACUUUGGGAAACAUUUGGCUUAAAUAAUGGAUGCUUUUAUGUUGGCUCCUGCUAAUGUGUUAGAGAUUAUUCUUCAAAGAGUCCAGUUGAAUACCAGUGUCUUUUGGUGAGGGGUGGGAAUACAGAAUCAUUUAUAAGCCUGAUGGUACUAUUUGUCAGUUUUCUUUUUCUUUUUUAAACUUUAAUAGGCAUCAGGAUCAACUUAAUAAAAAAAGGUAAUGUCAGGCUUAAGAUUUUAGCAAAUACAUUUUGGUGGAUAUUCCAUGAGUUUUUUAAUGGAAUGUGAGGAUAAAAAUCAAAGAUGUUGAUUGUUUUUGUAUAACCUGGUGGCUAUAGUUAACAAUAUGACAUUUCUACUUUAAAAUAUGUUAAGAGGAUAGAUCUCUUGUUAAGUGUUCUUAGGACAUAACAACAACAAAAAAAAGACACAAGAGAAAAGUAGGGAAGUUUUAGAGAUAAUAGAUAUGUUUAUAGUAUGUUGAUAGUGGUGAUGGUAUCAGAGGUGUAUGCAUAAGUCCAAACUUAUCACAAUGUAUACAUUAAAUAUGUGCCAUUUUUAUAUGUCACUUAUAAUUCAAUAAAGAUUAAAAUGCAUGUUGAGGGGCGCCUGGGUGGCGCAGUCGGUUAAGCGUCCGACUUCAGCCAGGUCACGAUCUCGCGGUCCGUGAGUUCGAGCCCCGCGUCGGGCUCUGGGCUGAUGGCUCAGAGCCUGGAGCCUGUUUCCGAUUCUGUGUCUCCCUCUCUCUCUGCCCCUCCCCCGUUCAUGCUCUGUCUCUCUCUGUCCCAAAAAUAAAUAAACGUUGAAAAAAAAAAAUUAAAAAAAAAAUAAAUAAAAUGCAUGUUGAUUGUGUUUUAAAGAUAUCCUCUGGAGAAGGAAGAGAAAAAUACUAAACAGAUGACGUCAUAAAGCAUUCAGUUCUUGAUGUAGGAGUUUGUGAAAAGGAAUGGCUUCAUGAUUCUUUGUUUCAUUCUGUUGCCUUCAUGAUGAGUACUUGAUACUGCUAAUAAUGAUAUUGGUGUAUUCCUUGGCAUUUAAAGGAAUAUCAAAUAUAUUCUUUACAUUAGAAAGCUUUUCUUCUGCUGAGGCUACUGAUUCACAGGAAAAAAAAAAACCUCUUGGGUAUAAUCUACAAAUGAAAAACAGUUGAUGACAGGAAGCAAACGUGGAGGAGGUAGAGAUGGUGAAGAGAUGGCAAAAGUGGGUAGACACUGAGAGAGGAAAUAUUAGAGGAAGGAAGAUGAGGGAGAAUGGGUGGGCUUAAAACAAAAGAGAGUGAUUUUUCUCCUUUUGGCUUAGGCCUCAACCAUGUCCUGGCUUUCUUCCUUUUGCAUCUACCCUGAUGAUCACCCUCCAGCUAUUAAAAUCACUCUAAUUCUGGUGCUAAUCCAGUUCCUCCUGACUUUUUACCUUUGCAUCCACAGGUAUCCUAAGUUCACAUGGCCACCAUAACUAUCACUGGGCUUUGUUUUCCUCAUUCCGUUGUCAUUUAUUAGGAAGCCUUCUUUCUUUCUUUCUUUCUUUUUAAAUUUUUUUGUGUUAAUUUAUUUUUGAGGGAGAGAAAGAGUACAAGCAGAGGAGGGGCAGAGACAGAGGGAGACACAGAAUCCGAAGCAGGCUCUAGGCUUUGAGUUGUCAGCACAGAGCCUGAUGUGGGGCUUGAACCCAUGAACUGUCAGGUCAUGACCUGAGCUGAAGUUGGAGGAUUAACCAAUUGAGCCACUCAGGUAUUGCUAGGAAGCUUUCUUGAGUAUUCAAGUAUUUCCACUUAGUUAAUGAACAGAUUCACUGUGAAUAAUAAUGCAGUGUCACUUUAUGUAUGCCAGGUAGUGUUCUAGGCUCUGGUUAUAAAGAACUUAAUGAGUUGAAGUCUCAAUUCCCAUUGAGAUUAUGUUACAACACAUGAAUAAGUAUAUAUUUGAAUUGCUUUGGGGAGAAAAAAAUGCAAAUUAAGGGGGUAGAGAAUCACAGAGUAUGCUACUUUAGAAAGGGUAGUUAAGGAAGUUUUGUCUGUGGAGGUGAUAUUUAAGCAGAAAUCUGAAUGAUGUGAGGGAACAAGCCAUAUGAGUUUCAGGGCAGUAUGUGCUUGGUGAGACAAGUGCAUAGGCUUAUGUUUGAUGUCUUCAAGGGUCAGCAAGAAGUGCAGUGGAUGGACGGGGAGAAUGGUAGGAAAUGAGGUUAAGAAUUAGGCAGAGGCUGAUCAUGAAAAGCCUGAUAGACCACAGUAAAGUUCUUGGAUUUUAUUUUAAGAGUGAUGAGGUGGAUUCACUCCAUGCUAGGGGUAUCUUCUCAGAUGAGAGCAGAGCUGCAAGGUAUCAGAACUCUUACGCACUUACCCAGUUGCAUUUGUUAAUAUAAAUACUGUAGUAGAAAUGGGAAAUGGUUGUUCAGGACAGCUUAUGCUGAGUCACAUUACUGAAGGUCUGUUUUACCUUCAGAAGAUGACUAUAGUACCGUAAUGAGAUAGGUGACUGUUCUCCUGGGAAGGUUUCAGUGAUAAAUUCUUCUAGAGGCCAGUAGAAGUGAAGUCAGUGGUAGCCAAUCCAGCACAUAUUUUUGCGGGCUUAUUAAAUAUCAGACACUGUGCUGGUUGCUCGUGCACAUGUUAGGCUGUGCAGCAAUUUGUCCCCAUUUUACGGAUCAGAAUACGAAAGCUCAGAGGUCCUAUUGUGCCACAACUGCUGUAAUUAUUCGGUUGAGUAUCUGAAUAUUCAUACUAAAGUAAGGUCCUUGCCUGAAUUGCUGGGAUUAAUUGCAACAAUGUAGAUCUGGGUAUUAUAGUUUUAAUCAGACAAUGUGCUGUUAAAUUUCUAAGACUAUAUUAAAGAGGUAAUUAAAAGUCUUUUACUUUAAAACACAUUAUAAUUUUCUGGAAAUUAAAGGACUAUGUAUGUGGUCAUUUUGGAAAAAUUAGAAAUAUUUGUUUUUUACUAUGAAUAAUAGCAAAAUUAUGGAAAGAGCCCAAAUGUCCAUCAACUGAUGAAUGGAUAAAGAAAAUGUGUAAUGGAAGAUUACUCAGCAAUCAAAAAGAAUGAAAUCUUGCCUUUUGCAACUAGAGUGUAUUAUGCUAAGCAAAAUAAGUCAAUCAGGGAAAGACAAAUAUAUGAUUUCACUCAUGAGAAAUUUAAGAAAAAAAUCAGAUGAACAUAGGGGAAGGGAAGGAAAACUAAAAUAAGAUAAAAACAGAGAGGCAAACUAUGAGACUCUUAACUAUCGACAACAAACUGAGGGUUGAUGGAAGGGAGGUGGGUGGGGGGAUGGGCUUGUUGGGAUGAGCAAUGUGUGUUAUAUGUAAGUGAUGAAUCACUAACUUCUAUACUUGAAACCAAUACUACACUAUAUGGUGACUAAAUUGAAUCUAAAAAAAAAAGAAAUACAAUUUUUAAAAUGCACAUACCCACAUACACAUGCUGUGACCGCCUCUCUGCUUCCACCUUGUAAAUACCUCAGAUUAACACUUUUCCCAAUGUAGAAAGUGGAUUCUGGUGGUACUGUUAUUGUAUUUAUUUAAAUAGUUGCAGAAUGAGUGAUUUUACUCAUUUUGUUUAGUGUUACCAAUUGUUUGGGCUUGCCCUAAGAUAGUUUAUUACUUUCAAAUGAGUUUGAGAAACUUAAUAAAUGUGUUUGAUAAUUCAGUGUAUCUAGUGAAAUUGUUACAGAAGUCAUCCAAAGAGCUUGGUUUUGUAGUCUCUUUAGUAGUGAUGUGAAGUCUUAUACUCUGGUAGCCUAUCUAUAGGGCAUGUUACCAAAUCUAAUAUUUAUUUGGUGUAAUUCAUGUAAAUAAAGAACAUAAAAUGCGUCCCCCUUCCCGUCAUAACCUCCCUGCUUACAGCCGACUGUGGAAGUAUUUCUCAGUCUACAAUGUCACAUGUUCAAGGGAUACACUUUUUGUUCUUUGUUUGAAACUCAGUUUCUAUUUUGAGCUUCCAUUUUGUCCAGGUGACUGAAGUUUUAAUCUUGAUGAGGAGUGUCUUUUUCCUUUUCUCUUAACUCUGCUAAUUCUUGGAUGGGGGUGGUGGGUCCUACUACACAUCUUCAUCUUUCCACAAUAGUGGCAUUUGUAGAAAUGUUAGUCCUUCAUUUUGUUUUUGAAGUUACUUGGCCACCAUAGGUUGCUGCUCAUUCCUCAUUCACAUCCACAAGGUAUUAGCUAGUAAAAUAACUUCUUACAAUUUCCAUGCUAAUGACAACACUGUAAUCUUUCUGUGGUCUCCAGACUUUAAUAAGAUAUGGAGAAUUCUGUGAGACUGCUCCUUGUCUCAGCUUUGCUGGGCCUGAGUGGGGCCUGGGAAAUUCUGGGGAUAAUAUCUCAUUUGCCCCUUACAAUUAUCCAACCAGUUCUGUGGGAUCUUCCUGCCUCCCUGAGUCUGUACCUCGGAAGUGGGAUGCAGAUUGCCUCUGUUCUCUCGUAAGAACAAUGUCUAAAUCCAUUAUUCAUUUUACUCUUCUUUUCCCCAUUCAAGGAUUUUCAUCAAGUCUAGAGGGUGAGGAAAUCUUUUGUCUUUGCUCAUUUUGUUUUUGUUUUUUUUUUUAAAUUUUUUUUUUUUCAACGUUUAUCUAUUUUUGGGACAGAGAGAGACAGAGCAUGAACGGGGGAGGGGCAGAGAGAGAGGGAGACACAGAAUCGGAAACAGGCUCCAGGCUCUGAGCCAUCAGCCCAGAGCCUGAUGCGGGGCUCGAACUCACGGACCGCGAGAUCGUGACCUGGUUGAAGUCGGACGCUUAACCGACUGCGCCACCCAGGCGCCCCAAAGGUGUUCUAAAUCUGUUUUCUGUCCUAGAUGUUGCACAUACGUGGGCUGAAUUUGACCCACAGAAGUUCAUUUUACUUGGGUAAUAUUUUAAAAAGGGGAAAAUUCACAUAAAAAUCUGAAUUUCCAGAUUUUUUUUGAUGGGGCGGGGUGGGGGGGGGAGAAUGAUUUGACAACAUUGGACCCACAUUUCUAUAUGAUAAAAAUCGGUUGGAGCUGAAUAGUGGCUCUUUACGGGGUUUGCUCAUUCCAGUCCCACUUCCUUGUUUGUUUUGUGUUACUCACCUGCCUGACUUGGUUAGCAUAUGUUUUGAAUCCUUCCCAUAAUUCUCAAGGCCCAGGAUUUUGGAAUUCAAAUGUUUGGAAAAAGACUCCUUAUUUCUGCUUUCUGUUGCCAUUGCUUUCCCUUAGGCAAGGUGAGCCUAUCUACUACUUGAAUGGAGGAAGAAUCUAAGAAUAAGGGAAAAAAUUGGCUAGUAUAUAAAAAAUGUUAAACUACUAACAUAAAGGGUAAACUACUAAAUAAAGGAUAGUAUAAGAAUUUUAUUUUACUUAUUUAAAAAAAAAUAUUUAUUUUGAGAGAGAGAGAGGGCAUGCACAUGUGAGCAGGGGAGGGACAGAGAGAGGGAGAGAGAAAACCCCAAGUAGACUCCACAGUGUCAGCAUAGACAAUGCCGGCGUCGAACUCACGAGCCAUGAGAUUGUGACCUGACCCAAAAUCAAGAGUCAGUGCUUAGGGGUGCCUGGGUGACUGAGUCAGUUAACCAUAAGAGUUCAGCUCAGGUCAUGAUCUCUCAGUUCGUGAGUUCAAGCCCCACAGCGGGCUCUCUCAAUGGUGGAGCCUGCUUCAGAUCUCUGUCUCCCUCUUUCUGCCCCUCUCCUGUCUGGGUUCUCUCACUCUCUCUCUCAAAAAUAAAUUAACAUUAAAAAAAAAAAAAAGACGCUUAACUGACUGAGCCACUCAGGUGCCCCUUACUUUACUUAUUUAAAAAUGUUUUGGGGCACCUGAGUGACUCAGUUGGUUAAGCGUGGGACUAUUGAUUUCAUCUCCUAUCAGGAUCUUGCAGUUCAUGAGAUUGAGCCCUGACAGCACAGAGCCUGCUUGGAAUUCUCUCUCUCUCCUUUCUCUCUGCCCCUUCCCCUGUUCUCUGGAAAUAAAUAAAUAAACUUAAAAAAAAUGUUUUUUCAAGUUGAUUUUUAAAAUUCAGCUUUAUUCAGGUAGAAGUUAUAUAAAGUUCACCACUUGUAGAGAUAUAAUUCAAACUGGUUUCCAAAGUGAUUGUAUCAUUUUACAUUCCCACUAGUGAUGUAUGAAGGUUCACCUUCUCCACAGUCUUGUUCUCAUUUGGUGUUAUCAAUGUUUUAAUUUUAGUAACUCCAGUAGAUAUGUUGUAUCUAGUUACAUACAUCUCAUCAUGGUUUUAUUUGCAUUUUCCCGGUAAUUAAUGAUGUUGAGCAUCUUUUCAUAUGCGUAUUUUCUAUUUGUAUAUCUAUUUUUGAUAAGUGUCUGUUUAAAUCUUCUAUUUUAAAAAAUAUUGAGUUGUGAUUCUUGAAUAAUAAGAACUCUUAAGUAUUAUGGAUUAAAAUCCUUUAUCACAUUAAUCUUUUGUUAAGUAUUUUCUCUCAUUGUCUUAAUGGUCUUUUGAAAAGCAAAAGUUUUACUUCUGAUAAAAGCCAAUUUGCUGAUUUUCUUUUUUUACGGUUCAUGUCUUUUAUGUCCUAUCAUAAAGGACUGAGGGGCCCUUAACUGAGGGUCACAAGAUAUGUUUUCUUCAAGAAAUUUUAUAGUUUUUGCUCUCACUUUUAUGUCUACAGUCCAUUUGGGGUUAAUUUUGUAGAUAGUGUGAGGUAAGGGUAGAGUUGCAUUUUUUUUACGUGUGACCAUGUGGCUCUCUUUGUUAGAGACCACUCUUUACUUAUUGCAUUAAUUUGAUGCAUUGAUAAUUAGUUUAUCAUAGAUAUAUGCUUUUUUUUAUUAAAAAUUUUUUAAUGUUUAUUUAUUUUUGAGGGAGAGACAGAGCAUGAGCAGGGGAGGGGCAGAGAGAGAGGGAGACACAGAAUCCAAAGCAGGCUCCAGCCUUCACACUGUCACCACAGAGCCCAAUGUGGGGCUUGAACUCAUGAACUGCGAGAUCAGGACCUGAGCUGAAGUCAGAUGCUCAACUGACUGAGCCACUCAGGCGCCCCUAUCAUAGAUAUAUUUUGAUUUAUAUUCUGUAUCAUUGACAUUUAUGUCUUUCUUUUAGUUGGUAUUAGUUAGACCAUCUUGGUUCUCAUACCUUUAAUGUAAGUGUUGAAAUAAAAUAGUGUAAGACCUCUAACUUUGUAGGUUUGUUUUUCCUUUGUCAAAAUUCCUUUAGUUAUACUAUAUAAAUUUUCAUAUAAAUUUAAUUAAAAUAUUAUUUAGUAAUGUCUGUCCUCAACCUGAGGCUUGAAUGCCCAACCCCAAUAUCAAGAGUGGCAUGCGCUACUGAGUCAGCCAUAUAUAUGAAAUAUAAAUGUUGUAUGAAUUUUAGAAUAAGCAUGCCAAUUAUUAUAUAAAGGUUUACUAGGAUUUUUUUUAAAUGUAAUUUAUUGUCAAGUUAGCUAACAUACGGUGUAUUCAGUGUACUCUUGGCUUCGGUAAUAGAUUCCCAUGAUUCAUUUUUUACAUACAACACCCAGUGUUCAUCCCAACAAGUGCCUUCCUCAAUGCCCAUCACCCAUUUUACCCUCUGCCCUCGCCAUCAAACCUCAGUUUGUUCUCUGUAUUUAAGAGUCUCUUAUGGUUUGCCUCCCUCUCCGUUUGUAACUAUAUUUUUCCCCUUCCCCCAUUGUCUUCUGUUAAGUUUCUCAGAUUCCACACAUGAAUGAAAACACAUGAUAUUUGUCUUUCUCUGGCUGACUUAUUUCACUUAGCAUAAUACCCUCCAGUUCCAUCCAUAUUGUUGCAAAUGGCAUGAUUUCAUUCUUUCUUAUUGCUGAGUAGUAUUCCGUUGUGUGUGUGUGUGUGUGUGUGUGUGUAUAUAUAUAUAUAUACACACACACCACAUCUUCUUUAUCCAUCAGUUGAUGUACAUUUGGACUCUUUCCACAAUUUGCUCUUGUUGAUAGCACUGCUAUAAACAUUGGGGUACAAGUGCCCCUAUGCAUCAGCACUCCUGUAUCCUUUGGAUAAAUUCUAGUAGUGCUAUUGCUGGGUCAUAGGGUAAUUCUAUUUUUAAUUUUUGAGGAAGCUCCAUACUGUUUUCCAGAGUGGCUGUACCAGUUAGCAUUUCCACCAACAGUGCAAGAGGGUUGCCAUUUCUCCACAUCCUUGCCAACAUCUGUAGUUUCCUAAGUCGUUCAUUAUAGCCACUCUGGUGUGAGGUGGUAUCUCAGUGUGGUUUUGAUUUGUAUUUCCCUGAUGCUGAGUGAUGUUGAGCAUCAUUUCAUGUGUCUGUUAGCCAUGUGGAUGUCUUCUUUGGAAAAGUGUAUAUUCAAGUCUCCUGCCCAUUACUUCACUGGAUUAUUUGUUUUUCAGGUGUUGAGUUUGGUAAGUUCAUUAUAGAUUUUGAAUACUAAUCUUUUAUCUGAUAUGUCACUUGCAGAUAUCUUCUCCCAUUCCAUGAGUUGCCUUAAAAUUUUUUUUAAUGUUUAUUUAUUUUUGAGAAAGAGAAAAGGAGAGAGAGAGAGAGAGAGAGAGAGAGAGAGAAAGCAGGGGAGGGGCAGAGAGCGAAGGAGACACAGAAUCCGAAGCAGGCCCAGGCUCUGAGCUGUCAGCACAGAGCUCAGUGUGGGAGCUGGAACUCAUGAACUGGGAGAUCAUGAUCUGAGCCAAACUUGGAUGCUUAGCCAACUGAGCCACCCAUGUGCCCUCUGUUAGUUGCCUUUUAAUUUUGUCGAUUUUUUCCUUUGCAGUGCAGAAGCUUUUUAUCUUGAUGAGUUCAUUUUUGCUUCUAUUUCCCUUGCCUUCAGAGAUGUGUUGAGUAAGAAGUUGCUGUGGCUGAGGUCAAAGAGGUUGUUGACUGUUUUCUAGGGUUUUAAUGGUUUCCUGUCUCACAUUUAGGUCUUUCAUCCAUUUUGAGUUUAUUUUUUGCGUAGGGUCUAAGAAAGUGGUCCAGUUUUUCUUCUGCAUGUUGCUGUCCAGUUCUCCCAGCACCAUUUGCAAAAAAGACUGUCUUUUUUCAAUUGAAUAUUCUUUCUUGCUUUGUCAAACAUUAGUUGGCCAUACAUUUGUGGCUCCAAUUCUGGAUUCUCUAUUCCAUUUGUCUAUGUGUCUGUUUUUGUGCCACCACGAUACUAUUGUGUGAUUACAGCUUUUUAAUGUCUGGGAUUGUGAUGCCUACAGCUUUAAUUUUCUUUUUCAACAUUACUUGGCUAUUUGGGGUCUUCUGUAGUUCCAUACAAAUUUUGGGAUUGUUUGUUCUAGCUCUGAGAAGAAUGCCAGUGCAAUUUUGAUUUGGAUUGCAUUGAAAGUGUAGAUUUCUUUGGGUAAUACCGACAUUUUAUCAAUAUUUGUUCUUCCAAUCCAUGAGCAUGGGAUGUUUUUCCAUUUCUUUGUGUCUUCUUCAGUUUCUUUCAUAAGUUAUCUAUGGUUUUCAGCAUACAUAUCUUUUACCUCUUUGGUGCAGUUGUAAGUGGGACCAAUUCCUUGAUUUCUCUUUCUGUUGCUUAAUUAUUGAUGUAUACAAAUGCAACUAAUUUCUGUACAUUGAUUUUUUUAUCCUGCGACUUUGCUGAAUUCAUGUAUCAGUUCUAGCACUUUUUUGGUGGAGUCUUUUGUGGUCUCCAUGUAAAGUAUCAUGCCAUCUGUGAAAAGUGAAAGUUUUACUUCUUUGCCAAUUUGGAUGACUUUUGUUUCAUUUUGUUGUCUGAUUGCUGAUGCUAGGAAUUCCAACAGUAUGUUAAACAAUAGUGGUGAGAGUGGACAUCCCUGUUGUGUUUCUGAUCUCAUGGGGAAAACUCUCAGUUUUUUCCCAUUGAGGAUGAUAUUAGCUGUGGGCCUUUCAUAUAUGGCUUUUAUGAUGUUAAAGUAUGUUCCUCCUAUCCCAACUUUCUGGAGGGUUUUUAUUAAGAAGGAUGCUGUAUUUUGUCAAAUGCUUUUUCUGCAUCUAUUGACAAGAUCAUAUGUUCUCAUUCUCUAUUAAUGUGAUGUAUCACAUUGAGUGAUUUGUGAAUACUGAACCAGACCUUCAGCCCAGGAAUGAAUCCCAUUUGAUCAUAGUGAAUAAUUCUUUUAAUAUACUGUUGAAUUCGAUUUGCUAGUGUCUUGUUGAGAACUUUUGCAUUCAUGUUUAUCAGGGAUAUUGGCCUGUAAUUCCCCUUUUUAGUGGGGUCUCUGUCUGGUUUGGGAUCAAGGUAAUGCUGGCUUUGGAGAGUAAGUCCAGAAGUUUUCCUUCCAUUUCUAUUUUUUGGAACAAUUUGGGAAGAGUAGGUGUUAAUUCUUCUUUAAGUGUCUGGUAGAAUUCCCUGGAAGCCAUCUGGCCCAGGACACUUAUUUGUUGGGAGAUUUUUGAUAACUGAUUCAAUUUCUUUGCUGGUUAUGGGUCUGUUCAAAUUUUCUUUUUCUUCCUGUUUGAGUUUUGGUAGUAUUUGGGUGUCUAGGAAUUGUCCAUUUCUUCCAGAGUGUCCAGUUUGUUGGCAUGCAAUUUUUCAUAGUAUUCUCUAAUAAUUAUUUGUAUUUCUGUGGUGUCUGUUGUGAUCUGUCCCCUUUAAUUUGUGAUUUUUCUCUCUUUUUGAGAAAUCUGGCUAAGGUUUUAUCAGUUUCAUUUAUUCUUUCAAAAAACCAGCUGUUAGAUUCAUUGAUCUGUUAUACUGUUUAUUUUUUAUUUUGGAUUCUAUAUUGUUUUUUUCUGCUCUAAUGUUUCUUAUUUCUCUACUUCUGCUAGCAUUGGGGUUUCUUUGCUGCUCUGCUUCUAGUUCCUUUAGGUGUGAAGUUAGGUUUUGUAUUUGGGAUUUUUCUUACUUCUUGAGAUAGGCCUGGAUUGCAAUGUAUUUUCCUUUUAGGACUGCCUUUGCUGCAUCCUAAAGGUUUGGACUUACCUGUUUUCAUUUUUAUUUGCUUCCGUAUAUUUUUAAAUUUCUUCUUUAAUUACGUGGUUGACCCAUUCAUUCUUUAGUAGGAUGUUCUUUAACAUUCAUGUAUUUGGAGGCUUUCCAAUUUUUUUUUUUUUGUGGUGAUUUCAAGUGUCAUAGCAUUGUGAUCUGAAAUAUGCAUGGUAUAAUCUCGAUCCCUUUAUAUUUAUUGAGAACUUUUUUGUGACCCAGUAUGUGAUCUUUUGGGGGAAUGUUCCAUGUGCACUCAAGAAGAAUGUGUAUUCUGCUGCUUUGGAAUGAAAAGUCCUGAAUAUAUCUGUCUAGUCCAUCUGGUCCAGUGUAUCAUUCAAGGCCAUUGUUUCUUUAUUGAUUUUCUGUCUAGAUGAUAUGUCCGUAGUUGUAAGUGGAAUAUUAAAGUCACCUACAAUUACAGUGUUAUUAUCAAUAAUAUUGCUUACGUUUGUAAUUAAGAUAUAUAAAAAUAUAUAUGUGUGUGUGUGCACACACAUAUAUUCUUUCAAGUUAGAGGCAUAAACAUUUAUACUUGUUAGCUCUUCUUGAUGGACAGACCCCUUAAUUAUGAUAUAAUGCCCUUCAUCUCUUGUUACAGUCUUUAGUUUAUUUUUUUUUUGAGGAUAUAUUUUUAUUUUUAUUUUUUUUAAUGAAUGCAAAUAUAACAUACUUUUUACUUUUUUUAUUUUUAUUUUUUUUAGAUUUUAUUUUUUUCUCAAUAUGUGAAAUUUAUUGUCAAAUUGGUUUCCAUACAACACCCAGUGCUCAUCCCAAAAGGUGCCCUCCUCAAUACCCAUCACCCACCCUCCCCUCCCUUCCACCCCCCAUCAACCCUCAGUUUGUUCUCAGUUUUUAAGAGUCUCUUAUGCUUUGGCUCUCUCCCACUCUAAUCUCUUUUUUUUUUUUUUCCCUUCCCCUCCCCCAUGGGUUUCUGUAAAGUUUCUCAGGAUCCACAUAAGAGUGAAACCAUAUGGUAUCUGUCUUUCUCUGUAUGGCUUAUUUCACUUAGCAUUACACUCUCCAGUUCCAUCCACGUUGCUACAAAGGGCCAUAUUUCAUUCUUUCUCAUUGCCACAUAGUACUCCAUUGUGUAUAUAAACCACAAUUUCUUUAUCCAUUCAUCAGUUGAUGGACAUUUAGGCUCUUUCCAUAAUUUGGCUAUUGUUGAGAGUGCUGCUAUAAACAUUGGGGUACAAGUGCCCCUAUGCAUCAGUACUCCUGUAUCCCUUGGGUAAAUUCCUAGCAGUGCUAUUGCUGGGUCAUAGGGUAGGUCUAUUUUUAAUUUUCUGAGGAACCUCCACACUGCUUUCCAGAGCGGCUGCACCAAUUUGCAUUCCCACCAACAGUGCAAGAGGGUUCCCGUUUCUCCACAUCCUCUCCAGCAUCUAUAGUCUCCUGAUUUGUUCAUUUUGGCCACUCUGACUGGCGUGAGGUGAUAUCUGAGUGUGGUUUUGAUUUGUAUUUCCCUGAUGAGGAGCGACGUUGAGCAUCUUUUCAUGUGCCUGUUGGCCAUCCGGAUGUCUUCUUUAGAGAAGUGUCUAUUCAUGUUUUCUGCCCAUUUCUUCACUGGGUUAUUUGUUUUUCGGGUGUGGAGUUUGGUGACCUCUUUAUAGAUUUUGGAUACUAGCCCUUUGUCCAAUAUGUCAUUUGCAAAUAUCUUUUCCCAUUCCGUUGGUCGCCUUUUAGUUUUGUUGGUUGUUUCCUUUGCUGUGCAGAAGCUUUUUAUCUUCAUAAGGUCCCAGUAAUUCAUUUUUGCUUUUAAUUCCCUUGCCUUUGGGGAUGUGUCGCGUAAUAGAUUGCUACGGCUGAGGUCAGAGAGGUCUUUUCCUGCUUUCUCCUCUAGGGUUUUGAUGGUUUCCUGUCUCACAUUCAGGUCCUUUAUCCAUUUUGAGUCUAUUUUUGUGAAUGGUGUGAGAAAGUGGUCUAGUUUCAACCUUCUGCAUGUUGCUGUCCAGUUCUCCCAGCAUCAUUUGUUAAAGAGACUGUCUUUUUUCCAUUAGAUGUUCUUUCCUGCUUUGUCAAAGAUUGGUUGGCCAUACGUUUGUGGGUCUAGUUCUGGGGUUUCUAUUCUAUUCCAUUGGUCUAUGUGUCUGUUUUUGUGCCAACAGUCUUUAGUUUAAAAUAUAGUUUGUCUGAUAUAAGUAUGGCUACUCCAGUUUUCUUUUGACUUCCAGUAGCAUGAUAGAUGGUUCUGCAUCCCCUCACUUUCGAUCUGUAAGUGUCGUCAGGUCUAAAAUGAGACUCUUGUAGACAGCAUAUGGAUGGAUCUUGUUUUUUUAUCCAUCCUAAUGCCCUGUGUGUUUUGAUUGGGGCAUUUAGUCCAUUACAGUCAGAGUGAUUUUUGAAAGGUAUGGAUUUAGUGUCGUUGUGUUAUCUGUAGAUUUUGUGCUUAUGGUGAUGUCUCUGGUCCUUUGCAGUCUUUGCUGCUUUCCGCUCACGGAUUCCCCUUAGGAUAUCUGGCAGGACUGGUUUAGUGGUCAUGGACUCCUUCAGUUUUUGUUUGUCUGUGAAAGCCUUUAUCUCUCCUAUUAUAAAGGAUUCUUGGCUGCAUAUUUUUCCUAUUCAGCACAGUGAAUAUUUCUUGUCACUCUCUUCUGUCCUCCCAAGUUUCAGUGGACAGUUCUGCUAUUACCCUUAUGUGUCUACCCCUGUAGGUUAAGGACUGUUUGUCUCUAGUGCUUUCAGAAUUCUCUCUUCAUCUUUGUAUCUUGCCAGUUUCACUAUGAUAUGUUGUGGUGAAGACCUAUUCUUUUUGAAUCUAAGGGGAGUUCUCUGUGCCUCCUGGACUUGAAUGUGUGCUUCCUUCCCAGAUUAGGGAAGUUCUCAGAUAUAAUUUGUUCAAAUAAACCUUCUGCCCCCCGCCUCUUCUUCUUCUGGAACUCCUGUGAUAUGGAUAUUAUUAUGUUUCAUUAAAUCAGUUAGGUCUCUAAUUCUCCUCUUGUGGUCUAGUAUUUUCCUAUCUCUCUUUUUCUCAGCUUCAUCAUUUUCCAUAAUUUUAUCUUCUCUUUCACUUAUUUUCCCCUCUGCUUCCUCCGUCCUUGCUGUUGUUACUUGUAGUUUACUUUGCACCUCUUUUACAACAUUUCUUAAUUCAUCGUGAUUAUUUCGUAGGUCCUUGAUCUCUGUAGCAAUAGAUUCUCUGCUGUCUUCUAUGCUUUUUUCAAGCCCAGCUAUUAGUCUUGUGUCCAUUAUUCUAAAUUCUUGUUCAGAUAUGCUGUUUAUAUCUGUUUUGAGCAAUUCUGUGGCUGCCAUUUCGUCCUGGAAUUUCUUUUGCAGAAAAUUCUUUUGUUUUGCCAUUUUAGCUAGUUUCCUGUCUUUUACAUGUUUUAAUAGCGUGUUAUGUGUCCUGCACCUGUGAGUAGUACUAUAUUAAAAAGUACUACUUUUUAAUACUGGCCCUUCAGAAGGUGUUUUUAGAGUGUGUUACAUGCUCACUGUUGUUGUAUCUCUGGUUGCUUUAUCUCCCUAGUGGUGGUUUGGACCUUCCACCAAGUGCGCUUUGAUUUGUUCAUUGAAGUAACUCUCUGUUCCUCCAAGUUGUCUCCGUGGGCCCCUGGAUAUGUUUAUGUCACUCUGUAGUCCAAAUUCCUGGAAUUUCAAGUGUUCUGGCCUCAAUACUGCUGUGUUUGAGGAGCGAGGGAACUUUGCCUCCCCCCCACCAUCAUGUUGACUUCUCCUACUAGGAUUUUCAUUAGGGAAUUGUAUCAAAUCUAUAGAUUAGUUUGGGGGAAAUUGGAUCUUCUCCAUGAAUAUGGUAUAUCUCUUAAUGUAUGUAGAUUUUUAAUUUUUAUCAGCAGUUGUUUUGUAGUUUUCAGUGUACAGAUCUUUCACACAUUUUGUUAAAUUUUUUCCCAAUUAUUUCCAAUUUUUGUUGCUAUUAAACAGUAUUGCUUUGUGAAUUUCAGUUUCCAAUUGUUUGUGGUAUGUAGAAAUACAGUAGAUUUUUGCAUGUUGACUUUUAAUUCCAUGACCUUAUUAAAUUCAUUUAUUAGCUCUAGUAGUUUUUGCUGUUAUUAUUUGUUUUUUGUAGGUCCCUUACAUAGGAAUAAUAAUACACAUGCCAUUUAUCACAUGCCAUUUAUCACAAAGGCAGUAUUACUUUUACUUUCUAAUUUAUCUGCCUCCUAUUAUUAUUUUUCCCUGGGAACUCUAGCACAAUGUUGACUAGAAGUGGUUAAAACAUGCAUUCUUGCUUUGUUCCCAAUCUUGGGAAUAAAAAAUUCAGUCUUUUUCUCAUUUGUAUGACUUUUUCCCCUAGAUUUCCAUUAUCAGUUUGAGGAAACUCUUUUAUUUCUAGUUUGCUGAGAAUUUAUUAUAAAUGGGUGUUGUAUUUUGCCAAAUGUUUUUUCUUUAUCUUUUGAGAUGAUCAUAUGUAUAUUGUCAACAUGGUGAAUUACACAGCUUUUUCAAAAGUUGAAUAUUACAUUUCUGAAAUAAAUGCUUUUGUCUGUAUCUUUUAAGAUUAUUUGUUUUUUCAUGUAUGCGUUUUUUUGGUUAAUAUUAUUGAUGAAUUACAUUGACUGAUUUUGAAUGUUAAACCAACCUUGCUUUUGUGUGGGAUAAAUUCCACUUGAUCAUUAUUAUCCUUUUUAUAUAUUGUGGCAAUCACUUUGCUAAAAUUGUGUUAAGGAGUUUUGCAUUUCUUAUUCACGAUGGAUAAUGGUUUGUGGUUUUCAUGCAAUAUCAUUGGUUGGCUUUUUAGAAUGAGUUGGGAAGUGUUUACUUUGCUGCACUUUUCUGGAAGAGUUUGUAGAGAAUUGAUAAUACUUCUGCCUUAAAUGUUUGAUAGAACUCAUCAUUGAAGUCACAUGGAUGCAGGAUAUUCUUUGUAGUAAGGUUUUAAAAGAUAUGGGACUACUAAGCUUUGNNNUAAUUUGUAUCUUUCAGGAAAUCUGUCCAUCUCAUCUAAGAUGUCAAACUUACUGGCAUAAAUAUUUCAUGAAUUUGUUUUACUAUUGUUUUAAUGUCUAUAAUAUCUAUGGUGCUUCACCUUUUUCUAUUUCUGUUAUUGGUAAUGUGUAUUUUCCCUUUUUUCUUGACUAGUCUAGACCCAGCUUUUUAUUUUGUGUUUUCUUUAUUGUUAGCUCUUCUUUUAUUUUACUGCUUUCUGCUCUUUAUUAUUUUCUUCCUUCUGCUAAUUUUGGAUUUAAUUUGCUCUUUUUUAUCCUUUUUCUUAAAGGGGAGGAUGUUUCAAACAUUUUAUUGUUAUUGAUUUGUAUUUUAAAAAAAAAUUUUUUUUUUCAACGUUUUUAUUUAUUUUUGGGACAGAGAGAGACAGAGCAUGAACGGGGGAGGGGCAGAGAGAGAGAGGGAGACACAGAAUCGGAAACAGGCUCCAGGCUCUGAGCCACCAGCCCAGAGCCUGACGCGGGGCUUGAACUCCCGGACCGCGAGAUCGUGACCUGGCUGAAGUCGGACGCUUAACCGACUGCGCCACCCAGGCGCCCCUAUUGAUUUGUAUUUUUAAUUCUGUUGAGGGCAGAGAACUUACUUUGCAUAAUAAUUCUUCUAAAUUUAUUGAAACCUUUUUUUUAUGGCCCAAUAUAUAAGAUGUUUUGGUAGUUCAUAUUUACUUCAAAAGAAUGUAUAUUUUGCUGUUGUUAGUUGUAGUGUUGUUGGUUCUAUACAUUGUCAUUUAAGUCAAGUUGGUUGAUAGUAUUGAUAUACUUAGUGAUUUUGUGUAUUCUAUCCGGUUACUGUGAGAGGAGCAUUGAAAUCUCUUGCUAAAAUUUCAAAGUUGUCUAAUUUUUUUCAAAUGUGUUGAUUUUGUUUUAUGUAUUUAAAUGGUCAGUUAUUAGGUACAAACACAUUUAAUGUUGUUUUGUGUUCUUGAUGUAGUAAUCCUUUAUCAUUAUGAAGUGUUUGUUUUUAUCCCUGGUCAUACUUUUAAUCUGAAGUCUCCCAUCUCUGAUAUCAAUACAGAUUCUCCAGUUUUCUUUUGAUUAGUGAUUAUAUAUCUAUUGCACCUUUUACUUAAGAACUAUGUGUGUCUUUAUAUUUAAAGUAGAUUUUCUUUUUUUCCUUUCCUUUAAACCCAUGCUAUCAAACUGUAAUUUAAUUAUUGAUGUGGUUAGUGUAAACAGAUCAUCUUUCUAUUAUUUUUCCUGUUUGUAUCAUCCUCUCUUAUGUUGAUUUAUUAGCUAUAUACCUCUUUGGUUUUAAUUACAGUGAUUACUGUGGGUUUAAAUUAUAUGUCUUUAACUCAUCACAGCCUAUCUUUAAAUAAUAUUAUACCACCUCACAUAUAGGGUAAGAACCUCACAAAUGUCAUAUUUUCAUAUAUUUUACUUCUUGGUAUUUUAUAAAUCCUAUAAUACAUUGUAAUUGUUUUGACUUAAAUGAUCAGUUAUCUUUGAAGGGGAUUAAAAUACAUGAAAAAACGUCUAUUAAUUUUACUUAAAUAUUUACAUUUGUGAUAUUUUCCAUCCCUUUGUGUAAAAUUACAUUCCCUCUGGUAUCAUUUCUUCAGGAUGAAGAGCUUCCUUUAGCAUUUCUUAUAGAGCCAGUUUGCUAGCAUUGAUUACAAGCAGUAUUUACCUGUCUAGAAAGGGUGUUUAUUUUGCCCUCAUUUUUUAGAAGAUAUUUUUUCUGGGUAUAGAACAUUUUUGGGUUUGUUAUAUUUUCAGUACUUUAAAGUUGUCACUCCAUUGUCUUGUGGCUUGACUAGUUUUUGAUGAGAAGUUUUCUGUCAUUCUUUAUCCUCUUGCACAAAAUGUCUUUUUUCUCUCUGUCCUUCCUUCUCUCUCUCUCUCUCUCUCUCUCUCUGUCUCUCUCUCUGGCUGCUUUUAAGACUUUCUCUUUAUUUCUUGUUUCUGACAGCUUGAUUAUGUUGUGGUUUGUGAUGAUCACUUGUGGUUUUCUUUACGUUUAUUUUGUUCAGGAUUUCUUGAGCUCUCUGUAUCUGUGGAUCGAUAUUUUUCACUAAAUUUAGAAAAUUUAUGGUGAUUAUUUAAAAAAAUAUUUUUCUCUUCUCUCAUUUUCUUCUGAGACUCCAAUUACAUGUGUAUUAGUCAGCAUGAUGUUUUCCUACAGGUAUCUGAAGCUGCAUUCAUGUUUUAGGGUCUUUUUCUAUUUGUGCUUCAUUUGGGAUAGUUUUGCUGUCGUCAAGUUCACUGGGGUGUUUUUGUUUUGUUUUGUUUGUUUUUUGUUUUUUGGUGAUCUCUGUUUUGUGAUUUAUCCCACCUAGUGCCAUUUUCAUUUCAGAUUUUAUAACUAUCAGUUCUAGACUUUUAACUUUUUAAAAAGUAUGUUAUAUCUCUUUUCUUCAACAUGUUCAUGUUUUCCACUACAUUCUUUAACAUACGGAGCAUAUGAUAGUUGUUUUAAUCUCCUCUGCUAAUUCUCCCAUCUCUGUCACUCUGUUGAUUUUUUUCUCUAGGUUUCGAUAGAUUGCUUUAUAUCUGGUUAUGGGCCGUAUUUUCCUACUUCUUUACUAUCUGAUUGAUCAGAUGCCAGACAUAAUGCAUUUUAUAUUUCUGGGUGCUGGGUUUUGUUAUAUUCCUUUAAAGAAUAUUGGACUUUGUUCUGGCUGUAAUUGAAUUACUUAGGAUCAGUUUUACACUUUUGUGGUUUGGUUUUGAGUUUUGUUAGGGCUUCCAGAGAAGCCUUAUUCUAGCUGUUAGUCUCUCUAACUUAGACUCACUAAGUUAGUCUCAUUGCAGACUCUACUGAUACUUUAUGUUUUAAAUUAUCUCUCUACUCUGACCUGUAUGAACUAUUCUUAGCUCAGUGAGACUAUGAGAAUUGUUUGAUGUGCUGUUUUUUUUUCCCUUAGCUUUGAGGAGUUUCACUUCAUCCAUAUGUAGAUAAAUAUUCAGCCAAAGAUUUGAGGAGACCCUCUGCAUAUUUUCAGAGCUAUCUUUCUGUUUAGUUACCCCCUGCCCCCAAAAUUCUAGAUGUGUCAGAUUACCCAGAUGCCUCUCUAUCUCUUAAGCUAACUGCUUUAGGUCUUAUUUGGAUUUACUGUCUCUGCUCUUAAGCCUGGAGAAUGCUUCCAGGUAGUAAGGGCAAUUGGAGGGUUCAUCUAGUUUGUUUGCCUUCUUUCAGGGUUUACAGUUCUAUGCUGUUACCCAGAGUCAGAAAGCUUUUGUUUUAUGUAUUUUAUCAAGUUUUCUAAUAUUUACAAUUAUAGGGCAGUUUUCAUAGAAGUUAAUCUUUCAUGGAUGGAAGUUAAAGUCUUGUCAAAUUGUUUUAAGAGUUUUGUUAAUGUUCUUCAAGAGUAACUGUGUUAUUAUCAUCUUUGUACUUUUGACAAAAAUAUAUUUGAAUUUUAGGGGUGCCUAGGUGGCUCAGUUGGUUAAGCGUCCAACUUUGGCUCAGGUCAUGAUCUCAGGGUUCAUGAGUUCGUGCUGACAACUCAGAGCCUGGAACCUGUUUUAGAUUCUGUGUCUCCCUCUCUCUGUGCCCCUCCCCUGCUCACACUCUGUCUCUCUCUCUCUGUCAAAAAUAAAUAAACAUUAAAAAUUUUUUUAAAAAAUCUUUGAAUUUUAGCAGUUAUAAUGCCUUCCAUGCUAUAGUAUAAUUAAUUGCUUUAAACCAGUAUAUUUUAAAAAUAGAAACAGUUUUUGGUUAUCUUUAUAAUUGAAGACAAAUGGUAUGCAUUACAUGAAACACUAGGUAAUUUAAAAUUAAUUUACAGGGAUCUUCGGAAUGCAUUAUGUGAUUUUUGAGGCACAGUAAAAUUACCUUACAAUUGUGUAAAUAAGUGUCAAUAAAGUCUUUCCCUUCAGAAACUUCAGCCAUAAGCAAAGUGAGCUCAUUGCCCUCAAGUGUACUUAAUUAUGUCAAAAUUAUGUGUUGGUUUAGUUAAUAUUUAAAUUACUUUGUAUUGGCUGAGUAUACACCAUGUGCUUGUAGGGAAAAGGAAAGUAUGAUUCUGAAAUGUGUUCAGUGGUAGGGAGAAGCCAAUUUAGAAUUAAAAUUUGUUGUAGUCAUAAUCAAGAAAUGGCUAUAUAUUACACAUUUAAUUCACCAAGAAUUCUAUAGCUGUCAGUUUUCUUCAAAAACCUUCGAGGGGUGCCUGGGUGGCUCAGUCAGUUAAACGUCUGACUCUUGAUCUCAACUCAAGUCUUGAUCUCAGGUUUGUGUGUUCAAGUCCCACGCUGGUCUCCACACUGGGUGUGAAGCCUACUUAAAAACAAAAAACAAAAAAAAACCCUUCUUAAAACCUUUUGUAAAUUAAAUUUAGAUAGUUUUUUUAAUAUGGUUGCCAGAUUGUCAUCAUGUUGUUAAUCAAUUCAGAUUUUCAAUUUGUUCCUAUUUUCUAAUGUUUAUUUAUUUUUGAGAGAGAGAAGGGGUAGAGAGAGAAGGAGACAGAGAAUCUCAAGCAGACUCCACACUGUCAUCACAGAGCCUGAUGCAGGGAUUGAACUCACAAAUUGUGAGAUCACAACCUGAGCCAAAACCAAGAGUCAGAUGCUUAACUAACUGAGCCACCCAGACACCCCUGUUUCUAUUUUUUAAAAAAGGAGUUAUUGGUGAUUCUGCCUUAACUAGGAAUAUUAUUUUUCUUAUUUGUACUUGUAUCUUUUUAAAAAAUAUUUUAAGGUUUUAUUUUAAGUCCAGUUAGUUAACAAAGUGUUAUGUUAGCUUCAGGAGUACAAUAUAGUGAUUCAUUACUUCCAUACAUCUCCCUGUGCUCAUCUUGACAAGUGCAUCACCUAUUUAACCCAUUCUCCCACCCACUUUUCCUCUGGUAACAUCAGUGCUCCAUAAUUAAGUCUUUUUCUUGAUCUCUCCCUCCCUCCUUCCCUCUCUCUCUCUCUCUCUCCCUCCCUGCUCCCCCUCCCUCUCCCCCUUCCUUACUCCCUCUCUCCCUUUCCUCUCCUCUCUAUUUUUUCUCUGUGCUUGUUUUGUUUCUUAAAGUCCACACAUGAGUGAAAUCAUAUGGUAUUUGCUUUUCUCUGACUUACCUAUUUCACUUAGCGUUAUACUCUCUAGCUCCAUCCAUGUCAUUGCAAAUGUCAAGAUUACAUUCUUUUUUAUGGUUGAAUAAUAUUCCACUGUGUGUGUGUGUGUGUGUGUGUGUGUCUGUGUGCAUACACAUAUAUAUACCACAUCUUCUUUAUCUAUUCAUCUAUCAUUGGAAGCUUGGGCUGCUUCCCUAAUUUUGCUGUUGUGUAUAAUGCUGCAAUAAACAUAGGGAUGCAUAUAUACCCCUUUAAAUUAGUGUUCUUGUACUGUUUGGGUAAAUACACAGUAAAGCAAUUGCUGGAUCAUAAGGUAGUUCUAUUUUUAUUUUUUUGAGGAACUUCCAUACUGUUUUCCACAGUGGCUGCCCCAGUUUUCAGGCUUACCAACAGUGCACAGUUGUUCCUUUUUCUCCACAGCCUCGCCCAACACGUGUUGUUUCUUGUGUUGAUGAGUUUAGCCAUUCUGACAGUUGGGAGGUGAUAACUUACUGUGUUUUUGACUUACAUUUUCCUAGUGGUGAUGAGCAUCUUUUCAUAUGUCUUUCGGACAUCUAGGAAUAUUUUUUAAACUACUUGACUAUCCUCUUACUUAAAAUAUUUGCUAGGUUAUUGCAUUGACUAGUGACUGAUACAGGUAGAAAAUAAAAAAUGCAGUCACUUCAUUAGUAUUGGAGAACACAAAGAUCAGAUUUACAAAUUGUUUUACAAAACACUAAUAUCCUAAAACAUGUAAAGAAGUUUGUUAAAAAAGAGUUCCAUUGUUAAAUAAGUUUGGAAAACAUUGCUUCCUGAAUUUAUCUCUUAAAUAUUCAUUAUAUACAUAAAUGUUUUGGAAAAUGUUGUAGUAAAGAAACCUUUUUGAUUUUGUUUAAGUAACCUUUUCCACAGUUACUUGACUGCCUUUCUAUCCAUGAACUCCUCUUUAUAUCUCUUGAGACAUUAGUGUUCCAGAGAGCACAGUUUUGGAAAUGCUGCCUACAUGAUGAUGAUACAUCUCAUUUAGUUAUGUUGUAUUUGUAUCUGGACCUGUAGCGUUAUAAAAAAAUGUUUAAAAAAAGUUGGUUGAGAGUUUAGAACUAUUUUGCCAACUAUGGACUUUGUUUAUUUUGAUUAGUAAUUAGUAAUCAGUAAUUUUGAAUAUAAGUUUUCAAAUUAGUAAUUAGUAAUUUUCAAAUACAAGUUUUCCGAGCAACUUUCUCCCUUCAAAAUAAGAAUGUUUCAAAGUGUUAUAAAACCAAACCUCAUAAAGCAUUGUAGAGAAGAACUCUUAUAAAAAAUAAACUUUGGAUGAGCAAAGGGUACAUAAGUUAGAAACACAUGAAAUAAAUUGAUUUUGAAGUAUACCUAGAGCAUACAUAUUUUGAGAAAUGGCUUUAAAUAAACUUUGACCAAAUGUGUUUUGGGUUUUUCUAAAUUCAUACAUUAAAAACUUUAGGAUAUGCAUGAUCCUCAUGCAGAGUCAUCCAUUCCUAACUUAAAUUCCAAAAAAGAGUUAUAAAAUGAACAUUUGUAUUUAGAAUGUGCUUUGCAGAUCUUUAUAAACUGCAAAGCAAGUUUUUUGAGGUUACUACUCUACUCACAACACUUUUAAUGAUCUAUCAGAACUAUCUGUUGAUAUUUCAGGUUGGACCACUAAUCACCCAGAAAUAUAGACACGAUAUUUUGUCUUUUAUUUAUUUUUGGUGAUGAACAGAGGUAAGGCAAAGGGUCUUUAAAAAGUUGUUUCCUUUAGAUGCCUCCCACUCCAGCAAUUUGAUAUUUGGUUUUAGUACACAGCUCUAAUAGGUAUCUCCUUGUUUAUGCAAAACAAUAAUCAGUGAUGCCAACAGGCCUCUGGAAAUAGCAUUUCUUAGCUUGUGUUUACUCUGCUGUUUUCAAAGCAGUAGAGCAGAAAACACUGUAAUUCUGUAGAAGCACUUACUCUUGAUUUUUAUAAUGUGUAAGAUUUACAAUAAAAUUAUUUUAUAAAGAGGUGAGAUUUACAAUAAAUUGUCUGUAAUUGAUUAGUUUCACUAAUCAUAAUACCUUAUUAUUUCUUAAGGAAAGGUGAAGAAAUUUUAGGUUUAAUAAACACAUUAGGAGGUGAACUUUAGGAAAAUAUGGUUAAUGAAUGGUUUUGUGUGUUAGUAUUUUACAAGGUUAAAACACAUUUUCCUACUGAGUUAUUAUAGCAAAGAAGGAGAAAGCUAAAGUGAUCUGCAUUGUAACUGUAUCUAGGUCUUUACAGCUAUCAAGGUAUUUGGAGUGUUAGUUGAAAGAAAGAAUAUUUUGGUUAAAGAUAGACUCUUUUUGUAUCUGAUGAGAGUGUUUGUUAUGGUCUACUUUGUGAUGCUUACAAGAAAUGAGGGUUGUCUAGCUUUACAAUAACCCAUUAUUUUCAAGAAGUCCUCGAUAAAUUUUACCUUCUGUCAUAAAUAUGCUUAUUUACAUAAUGUAGUUUCAGGAACUAAUUCUCACAUUGAAUCCUAGUUUUCCAGUGUGUAAAAUUGCUCCCUUAGAUAUUUCAUGUAAGUAAUUUUUAAAAUCCUAAUUGUGUAUCCAUGUAUGUAGCAGCAACAAAAAUGUUUUUACAGAAUAUAUUAUGUAUAUGAAAGUUCUAUAUUUUCUACUUGAUAGAAAUAUUAGUUCUCAGCUGCUUGCCUUCUGUAAUGGUUAAUUUUAUGUGUCAAGUUGACUGGUCACGAGAUUCCCAGAUAUUUGGUUGAACAUUCUGGGUGUAUGUGAGGGCUCUUUAUGAUUGAGAUUAACAUUUGAAUUGAUAGACUGGGUAAAAAAGAUAGCUGUCUGGUUUUUCUUAAAAGAUCAACAAAAUUGAUAAACCUUUAGCCAGACUCAUCAAAAAAAGAAGAGAGGACUCAAGUAAAUGAAAUCAGAAAUAAAGGAAGAAACGUAACAACUGACACCACAGAAAAAUACAAAGGAUUAUAAGAGAAUAUUGUGAAAAAUUAUUUGCUGACAAAUUGGACAAUCUAGAAGUGAAUGAAUUCCUAGAAACAUUACCUUCCAAAACUGAAUCAGGAAGAAAUAGAAAAUUUGAACACACGGAUUGCUAGCAGUGAAAUUUUAUCAGUAAUCCAAAAACUGCCAGCAAACAAAAGUCCACUAUCAGAUGGCUACAUGGGUGGAUUCAUUCAAACAUUUAGUAUAUGUGCUGCCGAAGCGAGCACAUCAUUCAAACAUUUAAAGGAGAGUUAAUACCUGUUCUUCUCAAGCUACUGCCAAAAGUAAAAGAAGAAGGAAAGCUUCCAAAUUUCUUCUACAAGGCCAGCAUUACCCUGAUACCAAAACCAGAUAAAGAGACUACAAAAACCAAAACAAAACUACGGGCUAAUAUCUUUGAUGAACAUAGAUGCAAAACUCCUCAGCAAAAUAUUAGCAAACCAAAUGUAACAAUGCAUUAAAACAUCAUUCACUACAAUCAAGGGGAAUUUAUUCCAGAGGUACAGGCAUGAUUCAAUAUUCACAAAUCAAACAAUGUGAUAAAUUACAUUAAUAAGAGAAAGAAUAAAAAUCCUAUGAUCGUAUCAACAGAUGCAGAAAAAGCACCUGACAAAGUACAACAUUAAUUCAUGAUAAUUAUUCUUAAAGUAGGUUUAGAGGGAAAAUACAUCAACAUAACAAAGGCUAUAUAUGUAAAACCCAUAGUUAAUGUCCAACUCAAUGGUGAAAAACCAAGAGCUUUUCCUCUAAGGUCAGGAACAAGAUAAGCAUGUAUACUCUCAUUGCUUUUAUUCAACAAAGUACUGGAAGUCCUAACCACAGCAAUCAGACAAGAAAAAGAAAUCAAAAGCAUAUAGAUUGGUAAGAAGUACCACUAUUUGCAGAUGACAUGAUAUAUAUAAGAAAACCCUAAAGACUCCACCAAAAAACUACUAAAAGAUAAAUGAAUUGAGCCAAGUAGUAGAAUACAAAUUAACAUAUAUAAAUCUUUUGCAUUUCUAUACACUAAUAAUGAAUUAGCAGAAAGAGAAAUUAAGAAAAUAAUCCCACUUGGGACGCCUGGGUGGCUCAAUUGGUUGAGGGUCCAACUUCAGCUCAGGUCAUGACCUUGUGGUUCGUGGGUUUGGGCCCUUUGUUGGGCUCUGUGCUGACAGCUCAGAAGCUGGAACCUGCUUCAAAUUCUGUGUCUUCCUCUCUCUUUGCCCCUCCCCUGCUCAUGCUCUGUCUCUCAAAAAUAAAAUAAAUAUUAAAAAAAUAAAAGAAUCUCAGUUAUAAUUACAUCAAAAAUAAUAAAAUAUCUAGGAAUAAACUUAACCAAGGAAAUGAAAGAUAUGUACUCUGAAAACUAUAAAAUAUUGAUGAAAGGAAUUGAAGUGACACAAACAAAUGGAAAGAUAUUCCAUUCUCAUGGGUUGGAAGAACCAAUAUUUUUUAAAUGUCCAUAUUACCCAAAGCAACCUAUAGAGUUAAUGCAAUCCUUAUAAAAAUGCCAACAGCAUUUUUUCACAGAACUAGAUCAAAUAAUCCUAAAAUUUGUGUAGAACUACAAAAGACCCCAAAUAGCUAAAGCAGUCUUGAGAAAGAAGAACAAAGCUGGAGGGACCACAAUUCCAGAUUUCAAGAUAUAUUACAAAGUUUUAGUAAUUGAAACAGUAUGGUACUGACACAAAAAUAGACUUGUGGAUCAGUGGAACAGAAUUGAGUCCAGAAACAAACUCAUGAUUGUAUGAUCAAUUAAUUUAUGAUAAAGGAGGCAAGAAUAUGCAGUGGAAAAAAGAUAGUCUCUUCAACAAAUGAUGUUGAGAAAACUAGACAGCUACAUGCAAAAGAAACUGGGCCACUUUCUUACACCAUACACAAAAAUAAACUCUAAAGAGAUUAAAAACCUAAAUAUAAGCCCUGAAACCAUAAAAUCUUAGAAGAGAGCACAGGCAGUAAUUUCUCUGACAUUGGUCUUAACAACAUUUUUCUAGAUAUGUUUCCUGAGGUAAGAGAAACAUAAGUAAAAAUAAACUAUUGAGACUAUGUCAAAAGCUUCUGCACAGCAGAGGAAACAAUCAACAAAACUAAAAGACAACUACUGAAUGGGAAAAGGUAUUUGUAAAUGACAUAUCUAGUAAAAGAUUAGUAUCCAAAAUAUUUAAAGAGCUUAUACAACUCAGAAACCCAAAAAACCCCAAAUAAUCCAAUUAAAAAUAGGCAGAAAAUAUGAACAUUUCUCCAAAGAAGACAUGUAGGUGGCCAACAGAUGUGUGAAAAGAUGCUCAACAUCACUAAUCAUCAGGGAAAUUUAAGUCACACCAGAAUGAGAAAUCUUACACGUGUCGGAAAGGCUAAAAUCAGAAACACAAAAGACAACAAGUGUUGAUGAGGAUGCAGAGAAAAAGGAAUCCUUGUGCACUGUUGGUAGGAAUGUAAACUGGUAUAGCUACUGUGGAAAACAGUAUAGAGAUUCCUCCAAAAAAUGAAAAAUAGAAUCACCAUAUGAUCCAGUAAUUCCACUACUGAUAUUUACCCAAGGAAUAUAAAAACACUAACUUGAAAAGACAUAUACACCUGUAUUUUUAUUUCAGCAUUGUUCACAAUAACUGAUAUGGAGAAGCAACCAAAGUAUUCAUUGAUAGAUGAAUGUAUAAAGAAGGUGAUAUGUGUAUAUAAAAUGGAAUUUUAGCCAUAAAAAAGUGAAAUCUUGUCAUUUGCGGCAACAUGGAUGGAUCUAGAUAAUGCUAAGUAAAGUAAUUCAGAGAAAGACAAAUACCAUAUGACUUCACUCAUGUGGAACUUAAGAAACAAAACAAAGGAAUAAACAAGCAAAAAGAGACACAAAAGAAAACAAAGAAAAAAAAACACAGCAAAAACACCCCAGACUCCUAAAUAUAGAGGACAAACAUGGUUGUCAGAGGGGAAAUGGGUGGGAAUAUGGAUGAAAUGGAGGAAGGGGAUUAAGAAUACACUUAUCUUGAUGAGCACUGAGAAAUGUAUAGAAUUGUUGAAUCGCUAUAAUAUACACCUGAACCUAGUAUAAUACUGUAUGUUAUUUAUACUUGGAUAAGAAAGACUGUGCUCCCUAGUUUGGGUGGUCCUCACCUAAUCAGUUGAAGAUAUGAAUGGAACGAAAAAGAUGAGUAAGAAGGGGCUCAUUCUGCCUGACUGCUUAAGCUGGCACAUAGAUCUUUUCCUUUUGAGACUGAAUAUGAGAAAUUGGCUCUCUCUUCUUGGGUCUCAAACCUGCUGGCUUUCAGACUAGAACUUAUACCAUUGGCUCUCCUGGUUCUUAGGCCUUUGGACUUGGACUGGAACACUGUUGGCUCUCCUGAGUCAAUGCUUUCUGACUACAGAUCUUGGGACCUUUCAGGUCAAUUCAUUAUAUUAAAUCUUUUCUCUUUCAUUUAUUUGUUCUGUUUUUUUUUUUUUAAACGUAGACUAAUGCAUCUGCCUUCCUGUCUUGGUUAAGCCUAAAAUAGAGCUAUACAAGUAGCACACUUAAGCUCUCAGGUUGUUAUGAAGAGUUGAAUUUUGCAUAUUAUUUUGCUUAGCCAUCCCUAUCAUUAUUUUUAGCUAUGUCUAGUCACUAUGGAGGAUAGAUGAAGAGAAAGGGCCAUGAGAUUAGCCAUUUUGUUUAUGAAACUUAAUAUACUGCAUUUAGUAACAGUUUUAAGUAUAUUGAAAAUCAUCCAAAUGAUAUUAACUUUUUAUCACCCUAUGAAAACAAUUUUGGUCUAUCUUGUUGGCUGAUUUUGGACCCCAUGAACAGAAAGCCAAGGAAGCUUAUCUGGUUUAUUCAUGUUCUAAAAAGAGAUAAUGUUUUACUUUAGAAGUUGUAGUGAAAUCUGUGUUAUAGGUUUUCUGUAAAGGCCCAGAUAGUAAAUAUUUUAGGUUUUGUGCAAUAUAUGGUCUCUGUUGUAACUUUGUCAUUUUUCUGUCUGGUACUUAACUCUGUUGUUAUAGCACAGAAGUAGUCAUAGACAAUAUGUAAACAGGACUGUGGCUGCGUUCCAGUAAAGCUUUAUUUAUAAAAAUAGGUGGUGAGCACAUUUGGCCUGCAGGCUCUAGCUUGCUAACCCCUGUUGUAAAGAACCUUAAAAAAAUUAUCACUACUGGAAUGCCUGGGUACCUCAGUCGUUUGAGUGUCCAACUCUUGGUUUCAGCUCAGGUCAUGAUCCCAGGGUCAUGGGAUCAAGCCCAGCUUUGGGCUGUGUACUUAGUGUGGAACCUGCUUGGGAUUCUCUUUCUCCCUCUGCCCCUUUCCCCCACUUGUGUGUGUGCGCGCGCUCUUUCUCUCUCUCUCUCUCAAAAUUAAAAAAAAUAAAUAUUAUCACUGCUAUUUAUUGAGCACUAACAGCAUAGUGGGUAAUAUUAAAGGCACAUUGUGUUGUUAUUUAUUUAAUCCUCACAACAAAGGGUAAGCUGAGGCUCAGACGGUUUUAAAUUAUUACUCCAGAUUCAUGUAGCAAGUUGCAUAGUCAUUACUUGAGCCCAGAUUUAUCUCUAUAUGUGAUGCUUUUCUUAAUACAAAGGAAAAUAUUCUCUGGUUUAAGAAUUUUGUUUUCUAUACUCUAAAAGAACCAGGUUGUAAAUUAUGAAGCUCAGUGACAGUGAUCUUAUUGGAAAUCAUUUUAUAUGAUGGUUCAGAUAUUGGCCAAGGAAACUCUGAAAAUUUAAAUUGGGAUGACCAAUUUCCAGGUCACCAGUUUCUCCCUUAGCUAUUCAUACUGCUGGGAUCAGAGGUAUUCUUGAAAUCUGCAGUGGUGUGCCAGUUGCCUUAAAGGCCUCUUCUUUUUACUUUGUUGGAAGGCUACACUGGCUGUUCUGGGUUAGGUCUUGGAAGAAAUUUUAGCAGCAUUAUGAGUUUCUCUUCUUAGAAUUCAGAACCAGAGGCAAGAAAUACUUCAACUCUUUGGAGAGGAUAGUGGGCAAAGAUGAUGCUAUUUGAUCCUAAAAAGUUGGUGAAGAAAUUGUCCAGGUCAGAGACUCGUAAUGAUAGGGAACAAACUGAGGGUUGAUGGACGGAGGUGUGUGGAAGAUGGGUUAGAUGGGUGAUAAGUAUUAAGGUGGACACUUGUGAUGAGCACUGGGUGCUGUAUGUAAGUGAUGAAUCACUAAAUUAUACCUGAAGCCAGUAUUGCACAUUAUGUUAACUAACUAGAAUGUAAAUAACAAUUUGAGGGGUGCCUGGGUGGCUGUCGGUUAAGCAUCUGACUUUGGCUCAGGUCACGAUCUCACAGUUGGUGAGUUCAAGCCGUGUGUCGGGUUCUGUGCUGACAGCUCAGAACCUGGAGCCUGCUUCUGAUUCUGUGUCUCCCUCUCUCUCUCUGCCUCUCCCACUCACACUGUCUCUCUCUCUGUCUCAAAAAUAAAUAAACGUUAAAAAAAUAAAAAGCACAAAAACAAAACUUCUGAUCACCCUUAAAAUGAAAACCUAGGAGUAGGAGGACUGUUGAAAUUAUAGAAAACAUCAGUGACAUGGCAUGUCAGUGUGUAUGAGUAUGUGAUAGGAGAUAAGAAAAGCUCUACAAUCUAAAUUACUCUCCUUUUUUAAAAAAAGACUAUAGUUCUCUUUCUGAUUUUUGAAAGCCUGAUCUGAUUAUUCACGUAUGCCAAACAAAUUAUGUGGUACUUACUAUGUUCCAGCCAUGAUGCCACCAUUGAGGGUACAAUGAUGAGUUUGACACACCAUCUUCAAGGAGAUUGCCAUCUAGUUGAGAGAUAAAUAUACAGAUGAUUUUAAUACUGUGUAUUAAAUGCGGAAACAUGAGUAAGCACACAGGAAAAACAUCUAACCCUACUUUGGGGGUAGAGAAGGCUUCCUGGAAGAGAGAAUAAUCUAAGUCAUGAAGAAGAGGAGUUUUAAACCAGACAAAAAGCCAGGAUGAAGCUCAUCUGAAUUUUCAGCGCAAUCAGCAUAAUUUACCUGAACUAAGUGUGUUUAAUAUCCGGCAUUUAAAAAGAAAAGAGACCUGUUUAUUGAGUGCCAUGAAUCAAAAAGAAAAGAUAGAUGUGAGACCAAUCACCCAUCCCAAGCCUAGUCACAAGAAGGCAAUGUUUGCUUGCAGCCUGAACAUCGUCUUCAUCAGAAUAAAUGUGGCUGGCAACCAAUAAUAAUGAGAAAUAACACAAGUGGGGAAGUUUGUAUACAAGACAUGAAAGAACAUUGUUUCAAAACUUCCACAGUCCAUUAGAAAUUAUAAGGGGUAGUUAUAGCAUAGAGAGCAGAUAAAGAAUGAAAAUGAACUUCAUUAAAAGUUUAAUAAUGGGUAUAUCAAAAUGAAUAAGAACAACAGUAAUGCUUACAAUGUACAGAUGUUUGUAUGUACAGGAGCUGUGGCUUUUGGGCAAUUUGGAAAAUAAUGAAAUGAAAAAUGACUUCUUAUGAACAAAGGUGAUACAGGGGUAAAAAACACAAUCGUUAUAAAAAUGGCCCUUUUUUAGAAAUUAGGAAAAACGUAAGUAAAAAAAAAAAGAUGUUGAAUGGAAAACAAUCUAUAAUUUUAAUCUCUGUGGACCUGGUAUGAGAAUAGGUGCAGCUAACUUGAGGAGGAAAGCUUGUUGACAAAAGGAACAAUUUAGGCGGCAUAUAAACAGGCUCUGUCCCAGAGAAAGAGUGAAACGUCAGUGGUGGUGGGAAUAAAGCAAGAGAAGAAUAUAAUUGAAUGACCACUUAUAAUAGUCGUUACUCUCUGAGAUGGGAUGAGAAGAGCAGCCAGAUCUAGUGCUCCACAACACGAGGUGGUUGGCUGAGUCAGGAAGAAGUGUUAAUGUAGUUGGUGUAGCCUUGCUUAGCUGUGCAGGGACCCUCUCUGUUCCAGGUAUUAUCUAUUGCUGUCUGCAGAAUUCAGACAUGGCAGGGCCAGUGGUGUGCUGGCCUUUAGAACAUUCUGUAUUUUACUUACCAUUGUAAAUGCUUAGAAAAUAUGCAGGAAAUACAGACAUGUUGGUAUUUCAGUAGAGUAAUGAUCACGUCUGUCUUUUGGUUGGUGUUUUCAUUUAAAUCCUGAGGGCUAGUGAUGAUUUCCCAGUCACAUAUUUUAUUAAAAGGAUUGACUGUAUCUGACAUUUUUGAUUCUCUUAAUGGACUGGAUUUUAAACACUGGAACCACAAUUCUGCCCAGUGAAAAGCACAGGUGUUCUGACAAGUAAUAACAAAUAAGGUAUAGUAUUUUUAUUUUGUAAAGUAGUGUGCAUACAUAUAGUACCUGCAAGGAUCUGGAAUAUAAGGCUGAUUUAACAGCAAUCAAAUUUUAGUAGAAUUUACUUGAUUGUUAUAUCUUCCUUUUCAGCUGGAAUAUGGUAUGUUAAAGAUCAGACAGAUUACUCAUUCUGAGAACAAAGACUUUUGAAAGCUGUCAGCUAACUGACAGUUAUGAUGAGCAUUUAUUUCAAGCUUAUAAAACAUAUUAAUCAAACUUGUUCACAGCAUGGUGGUCUAAAGAGGGUUAUUUUCUUUUUGAGAGAUACUUUGAAUAGCUGGAGAGCACUGGUAACAUGAAUACAAAGCUACAGUGUUGUUGUUGUUGUUUUUUCUUCAAAGUGAGUUAAUACUUUUCUCAGGCUUAAAGAAGGAAACAUACUGCAGGAAUGUGUUUAUUACAAGACUAUUUGCAAAAGACCUAUGCACCAUUCAUUGAACCUUGAAAAAACACUUGAAAAUAUGGGUUGCAUUUGCAAACUUCAGUGUAUGACAUGGAAAGCUGGCAAGCUGCCUGGCUUCUACUUAAAGGAUUGUCAUUCUGGGAAAAAUAAAUUUCUCUAACUAGACAAAAGUCAAUGUUUUCAUGUUUUACUGCAAUCAAACUGAUAGAGCUGACAAUUUAAUGUCUCAACACUUAAAAUAUCUGUGGAUAAUCAGUUACCUCAAUCAAUCAUAAACACAAAUCCUUCUAUUUUCGAAGCUUGUGUCUGUGACUGAGAUGUAAAACAGUUUGGUGAGCCCCUUCCCCCACAACACCUCAUCAUCUAUCCCCCCCCCCCCCCCCCCCCCCCCCCCCCCCGACCUUCCCAAUAUUCCUGAUUUGUCUUUAGCUAUGCAGAUAUUUAUACAUGUUAUGCAUCUGGAAAUAACUUUUAACAACUCAAGUGUGAUCAAAUUUAGAAACUUUUCUUUCACUGUCCUGUUUUAUUUAAUUUUUAUGGGUAGUUUAUAGACUGUAUGCCUGUCAGAAAAAUGUGGAAGUGUGCUGGCAUUCCAGUUGAAGACAUCAUUACGAGUGAAAAAAGUGCUCAAGGCUUUUUCAAAGUGGGUGCUGAAACAUACAUUUCCUUUUUCUGACUCCAGGGGAUGCUGGUAGCUGCCCCAAACAGACAGGUAUCUUGGGGUCAAAUGGUGGUGUGCUGGCCCCGUAGGAUUUCCUGGCAAGCACACUGAAUGGCUCACUUCUGGGAAACUAAUCAUAAUGAUGAUGAUGAUAAAGCAAGGGAGGCACUGACAACAACAUAAAAAGCUGCCUGAGGAAUUGGAUUCCAGGUUGCUCUACACUUGGCAGAGCUGACAGGUUCAGUUCACUAAGCUUUGGUAUUGAUAAUGACGGGAAACUUCAGACAGUUUUAGAAAUCUGUUUCUAUUAAGACAUGUCAUGGUGUUUCUGCAACUCAAGAACAAGUUUACUGGGGCACACUAUUCUUUCAACAUUGGUGUGAGUGGUUUUACAUCCCUACCAGAUAAUUACUCGGAGCACUCAAUAAGCCAAAUUCCUUGCUUCAAGUAUUCUUCUAUAAAUUUUUUUGUAUAUGGUGUAUAUGUGGCUAUAUGUAUAUAUAGACAUAUACAUUCACUACCACUGCCUCCUUUUUGUUUCUUUGAUUAUCUGGGGCUUUGCAAUCAAACUGAGUAGAAUUUUAGGACCCUUGGGGCAGCAUCCUUUGGUUCUGUGUCAGGCUACGUUGGAAAACAAUCAAUCUUGCUCUUACACUCACUUGGCGGAAGUGCCACGACACGGAUUGUGCAGUGCUUUGCUCUUGCCAUGAAGCCUGGGUGACAAAAGUUUUUACAAGAAGCUGACUGUAUUUGGGGUUAUGAAUAUGCAAUGACUCUCAUUAGUAUUGAAGCGCCAGAGCAGGGGCUGACAUCCCCCGCCACUUUGAGCUGCUGCAGAAUCGGCUAAUGAAUUGUCUUGCUCCUUCACGCACACAGUCUGCUGUUGUGGCUCCUAAGUUCCAAGGGGAGUUGCCCAGUUUGUGAAGACCAUUGACUGUAGAAAUCACUUGUCAAGAACUACUCUUGAUUUUGUGAAAUCAUGUUUAGACAGCGCUUAGACUGUCAAAACAGGAAAGUGCUGAACUUUGCAUAAGGUGAUACCAUGAGUAGGAAAAUUUAGAAAGGGACAUGACAAGGUAUAUAUGUUCUCAUAUACACCACUGUGUACAGAUAUGCUUCCAUUCUGGAUCAUUGUACAGGAAGUGUAUCUAUAUAUAGGUGAAAUCAAAUCCAUAGAAAUCUGACAUUCUUUUGGUUUGUCUAUUACCCUUCCAAAUAGAACAAACAGAUGAUAGAAAAUUUCCAAAAUGAAUAGGGUUGAAAUACAAAGCUAUUCCAUCAACUCUUUACCAUAUUCUUUCUUUCUUUUUUAUUCCUGGGCCUCUGCCAAACAUUUUGCAGCUCAUACACAUACCAUCUUUCAUGAAUAAGUUACUGAUAAGGAUAUGUUUCUAGCCACUGAUUAAGAUAUCUGAGCUGAUUUGUAGUGUGUAAGAAGAUGCAAAAGUGCGCAGAAACCAUUUAGAACAGGCCCUUUUCAAUAGCAUAAAUUAAAUGUGUUUUUCCACACCCCUCCUCCCUUGAAAUUUCCUUUCAACUAACUGGGGAACUUCUGUGGCUUGCUGCAGAUUGUAAAGAAUGGAUUGAAUUGAAACGGAUAAUAUAUGCUAAAAGGUAAGGGAUAUGUUGUAAGCUGUGCAAAUAAGGCAACAAAGAGUAAGUCCUUACAUUAGGUGCUUGCCCUACAGUCAUUUAUUUUAUCUGCAAUGUAAAGGCAUCCUUUUCAAGAAAGCAGGUACGUUACUUUUGUAGAGUUUUUAGGAGGUAGUGUUAUUAUAAUAUUUGUUUGAUGCAUUGCUGGAAACAAGAAAAAACUAAAGCCCAAGAACAUACACGUAGAAGAGUACCAAGUAUGAGUAUAGCUUAAAAUAAAUGCAGUCUGACAAAAGUGGCUCAAGUAUCAUACAUCAAACACUUGUUACCUCUGCUGGCCUUAGUGACUGCACAUGACUAAGAACAAAUCAGUGAUAAAAUCUCAAGAAAGAUGAAACCAGUCUGGACCUUUGUAAAGACCAUCAGUCAUUCUACAAAGCUGUAAUAUUAUUUCUUCAAGUAAUCUUUGGCUUCCUAUUUACUGGACGUAAUAUACCCUUUACUUCUAAAUCAAAGCCACCAAGGGACAUUUUUUUCUUUUUCUGGUUUUAAUUGGAUACAUCUUAGAACCAAUGAGAUCUGAUCAGAUGACAAUGAACUGAAUUAUUCAGUUGCAUUCGUAAAUGUGCAUUCUUGUACUUCACUAUCAGCAAAGGUCUUAAAAACUUCAUGUUUAAAAUUUUUUUUAAUGUUUAUUUAUUUUUGAGAGAGCGUGCGCGCGUGUGCGCGUGCACGAGGUGGGGAGGGGCAGAGAGAGCAUAGAGCUGUCUCUGUCAGUACAGAGCUUGAUGCGGGGCUCGAACUCAGGAACCAUAAGAUCAUGACCUGAGCCAAAGUUGGGUGCUUAACUCACUGAGCCACCCAGGCACCCCAAAAACUGUGUUUUAAAGUGCCUGUAUAAUCAGAAGUAAAAGACCUUUAUAAUUACAAGCACUUUCUUAUUUAGGCCUUUUUCCUAGGUAUCCAAGCAUUUUUCAUCACAAGGCAAGGUUUACCUGGGUACCUCAAAAUAAGCAAAUUCCACGUUCAACUCAUACAGAAUACACUAAGAUUUUAAAAUAUAAAAGUGGAAACAGAUCAGCUGAAAUAAUUAUAUCUAAGCAUAAAGUAUUCAAAUUUAUUGGAAAUAUUAACCAAUAUCUGUUCCUAUGAAUAUGAGAAUCAUAAGUGAAAUAUUUUAGUUUUAAUUGCAACUACGGUGGUUUUGAUUUGACUCUGUAAUUAACAUCUGCAUUCUAGACUUUGUGAUACUUUGAAAACAUUAUUUAUGGAAGGUUUGUCCAAAUAUAAUUUGGUGCUUAUUGCUUUUAUCAAAUGUUGAAUGAAAUAAAAUGCAAAAACUUGUGCUUCUGAGAGUUGUGUUGAUAAUCAUUUAUUGUAUCUCCUUUUCUAAACACAACCACAAUACAGUUGUAACAGCAGGCAAGGCAAUGUUAGGUUGUUUCUAUUCAUACCUGCAAUAGAAUUUGAGCCAUCAAAAAGAAUGAAAUUAUGCCAUUUGCAUUGACAUGAAUGGAGCUAGAGUGUAUUACGCUAAUUGAAAUAAGUCAGAGAAAGACAAAUACCAUAUGAUUUCACUUAUACAUGGAAUUUAAGAAACAAAAAAGAACAUAGGGGAAGGGGAAAAAAGAGGGAAGCAAACCAUAAGACACUCAACUAUAGAGAACAAACAGGGUUGAUGGAGGUGGGUGUGGGAUGGGCUAAAUGGGUGAUGGUGGGCAUUAAGGAGGGCACUUGUGGUGAACACUGGGUGUUACAUAUGUAAGUGAUGAAUUGAAAUAUGUAAGUGAUGAAUCACUAAAUUCUACUUCUAAAACCAAUUAUUACCCUAUGUGUUAACUAGAAUUUAAAUGAAAACUUGAAACAAACCCAUAAGGGAACAGCAAAUAUACAUAAGAAUUUAGGCAAUCAUUUGAUUCAUAGUUUUGUGAAUUGGACCAAGAAUUGGAGUAUUUUAUAGCAGACCAAGCCCAGGAAAUUAGAGACACAUGCUUCCUCCAGCUUAUCUCUACCCCCCCCCCCCCCCCCCCCCCCCCAUAUCUUCUUCCCUCCCAUACAUAUACUCACCUCACAGUGGGGAGGGAGGAGAAUGAGAGAGGUGUUCAGCUUUUGAUGAGUUUACCUAAAAUUUUGCCUGAAGAAGCUAUUUUAAUUUGAACAUUUAUGUAACUUUGAACAUAUAUGUAAGUUUUGUGCUUUGUGGCUUGAUACUAUUUUCAUUUUGAUUUACAUGUGGAUGAAGGCACCAUAUUUUUUCAGUCUUGAAGGUCUCUAGAGGUCUUAAUCUGAACUUGAACGUACCAGUGAAUUUACCCUAAGCAAACGCUUAUACAUUUUCUUGCCAGGUAUAAAUGAACAUUUGUUGAGUACAGUCAGGGUGCUGGGAGUGGGGAGAAGUGGAUUAGGAAAAUACAGAAAGUACAAUCCUGGGUACCAGGAAGUUUAUGGUAUAGCUGAUAUGAAAGAUUGCAGGGGAAAGAUGGAGAUUCUUUUUUUUUUUUUUUUCAACGUUUAUUUAUUUUUGGGACAGAGAGAGACAGAGCAUGAACGGGGGAGGGGCAGAGAGAGAGGGAGACACAGAAUCGGAAACAGGCUCCAGGCUCUGAGCCAUCAGCCCAGAGCCCGAUGCGGGGCUCGAACUCACGGACCUGAGAUCGUGACCUGGCUGAAGUCGGACGCUUAACCGACUGCGCCACCCAGGCGCCCCGAAAGAUGGAGAUUCUUUUACAGGGCUAGGUAUCAACAAAUAUAGAUUGAUUUAGUGAACAAUAAGUAUAUAAGUGUUUCAGAGCUGCCAUUGAGAUGUGAGAACAUCCUCAGGAGGGCUAACUGUAGAGACAUCUUACAAGAGUCAAGUUUCUACUUGGAUUUUGGAAGUUUAAAGAUUUUAUUAAAAUGUAUUAAAUUUGCCUUUACUUUGAAACAGGACUUCAGUGUUUGUAAAACUCACUUUAUAUUGGUUUCACUGGUACCAUUUCCUUUAGAAGUGAUAUAAUUUGAAGUUUAGAAUCAUGUGUUUGUAAUUUGCUUUUCAUUUUUCUCUCUUAAAAAAUUGUAUCCAUAGGGAGAAAAAAACUUGUUUACCGCAACUACUCCUUUUAAGUGUAAAAACUAAAAGAGUGAGGGAAUAUGCAUUAAAAGAUUAGGAUAACAUCAUCUUGAACAACCUCUUUUCUUCCUUAGCUUUUCACUCAGUAAUAUUACCUAAGUAAAUGUAUAAAUGUUGAUUCCAUAUUGAUGCCCAGCAAAAUAGAGAUUCCUAAGUCCAGUAUCAUCAGAGAUAGCUUCGCAUUCCUUGGGGAGGGGGAUCUUUUAUUCCCUGAUUGGGUACCCUGCAACGUGACGUAACUAAUUACUAGCUGCAGUUCUGACUGUCAGUAACAUUGUGAAAUUGUUUACUUACUUACCCUUUACUUACUUUCACACUCUUCUUACCCCUCUCCCACUCUACUCAGAUGUCCAUGAAGUCUGGAGGUUACCCCCUCCCAGGUGACCUGCUUUUCUUACAGGAGCCCCUGGGGUUUGAUGAGUGUUAGGUGUAUGACAGGCACUGUGCUAGUUGCUUCACAUAAUUUAUUGCAAUACAGAUAACUAUGGAUGUAAAAAACGUACUGCAGAGAAAUGCAAGAAAUGAAUAGCAUCACACAAGUAGCCAGGUUUUCAAUCCGUUUCAGACUCCAAAGCCUGUGUUGUUUGUACUAUAGCAAAACAUUUUAAAACCUAGAAUAAUCUGUGCUGCAAGUUCAGGUUUUGUGCUGGUCACAAAGGAAAAUUGCUUCUGGCUGGGAACAUUGCCCUGGUGCCCUUCAAAUUAGAUGAGGUGGAUCUAAUUAGUCCUACUAACUUAUAAGGCCAGUUUUAUAUAGUUGCACCUUAAGUUGUUUAAAUGUAGGCUUAUUUGAGGGAGAUCUUAAUCUUUGUUUUGAAUUUAUUCAGUUCAAUUCAAUUUAGUGAACACUUACGAAUGCCUGUUCUUUGCUAGUCACUGUGCUAGAUGCUGGUGGUACAAAGACCGUCUAUUUAGGGAGACAUUAUAACAUUAUAAUACAAUUUAUUGAAUGCUAUAAUAGAGGCGUAUGCAAGGGAUCAUGGGAGCAUAGGAGGGAAUAAUUAAUUUGAGGAAAGAUGUCAUUAAAUGCUGUAUUUGAUCAGAGCCUUGAAGGUCAAGAAAUAAAAAUUUGCCAAAAGGACAGAAAGAGGUUGAUAAUUUAUUUCAGGUGAUGGGACCAGCCUGUGCACAUGUGUGAAUAUGCCUGGUGUGUUUAGGAUACGACAAGAGUGGUAGAUUGAACGAUGGUCAAAAAUUCUUCCUUUUCCUGCAUCUGACUCCUGGCAAAAUGAUAUUGAAGAUUCUGCCAUUAAGAAGUGGAAUCUGUUUCCUCAUCACUGAAUUUGGUUGACCAUGUGACUUGCCUUGGCCAAUGGAUGUUAGCAAACGUGAAACCAGCAGAGACUUAAAAAGUGCUUGUGCACUAGGGAUUCUGUGCUUGGAAUUCCAAAGACUAUACUGUGACUGAGCCCAGGUUAUCUUGCUGGAGGAUAAAGUAGCCACCUGCAGGAAACAGAGUCUCUGGCUGACAGUCCGCUAACCACUGGAGAUGUGAGUGAGAUCAUCUUGGACUAUCUCGCUGAUCCACCAUUUGCCCAUAGCCACAUGGGAGAGUCCAGGAAAAAUCUGUUGUCAGCCCAGACGGAAUGACCCAGCUUAUUUGCACAGUUAAGAACUAAAUAAAAUGUUGUGUUAGCCACUAGGUUUGGAGUGUUUUGCUGUGCAGCAAAGCUGAUACACAGAGGGUCUGAAUAGAGUGCAGAGAAUGUGGGAAGAGGCAGUGACUGAUGAUGAAGAGGAAUGUAACAUCUGCAACAUCAUGUUGAGAAGUUUAGAUCUAUUUUACAGGACCAAACUUCCCAAACUUCACGGAUUAAUGUACCACUUUGAUGUCUUUAAAAAAUGUCUACCUACUACAUGAACUAGAAUUUUAUUUAAGUUUUCUGAUUUUUUUUUAAGUUUAUUUAUUUUGAGAGAGAGAGAACACUCUUGCAGGUGGGGAGGGGCAGAGAGCAAGGGAGACAGAGAAUCCCAAGCAGUCUCCACUGCUGUCCCCGUAGCCCUGUAGUCCCUCCUUCACAUACGGUAAGAUCAUGACCCGAGCCAAAAUCAAGAGUCAGAUGCUUAACCAACUGAGCCACCAAGGUGCACCAAAUUGUCUGAUUUGUAUAUCAAAAUUUAUUUUAAAAACAAACUUAAUAUUAAAACCCCAGUUUGAUGUGUUAUUUCUGAAACUUAAAAUAUAAAUAUUUAAAAUGUCUGUGUGCUAUCAAAAAUCAUCUUGUAUAUUGUGAGGGCUGCAUUCUAGUAUUUCCUGCUUUAAUCAGUAUGAACCAGCAGCAUGUGGAGAAAAAAUGGAAGUAGGGAGGGGCUGCAGUUGGGAGGAGUGAGGAGGCUAUUGCAGAGGUCCAGGUAGGAUAUGGCAUAUGGUAGACAGACUUAAGAUGUGUUCUGGAAGUGACAGGACCUGGUGACAGAUUUGAUGUAUGUGGGAUGAGAAUGGGGACUGUAAACUAUCCACUGAAUGGAUACUAUUAAGAAAGGGAAGAGGAAAAAAAAAAAAAGAAAUAGAUAUGAUGUUGCACCAAGUUUGAGUUAGUAAAUCAUUUGAAAACAGAGGUCCCUGAGGCAUUUAUAUAUGUGAGUCUAAACUUAAAAUGUUAUUUUUGAAGUCAUCAGCAUGUAGGUGAUAGGUAGUUGAAGUCACAGAAGUAAAUGAGAUAAAGAGGAAGAGUUUAGUAUAGAAAUCUUUGGCUUUUUUUUUUAUCCCCAAAUUCUUAAGGCAUAUGAUUUAUCCCAGAAAUAGUUCACUAGAAACCAUUCACUAGAAGUAGUGAGUGGUUCAUAUAGGUAAAGAUUCUCAGAUAGGGGUAGAAGGUAUCGUGUAGUUUGAAAAAAAUGAAGAACAACCCUUAGGUAAUUUUGAUACAUUACCCUUCACCCCUUGUUGAUUUAGAGUGAAAUGAGGACACUGCUGAGGAAGAGGACAGAAUGGUCUGAGAGGUAUACCUCUUCAAGAGGGACAGGACUUUUAUAGAGGCGAAGAAACUUUAAGAUGAAGGGCUAAGCCAUGACACUAAAUUCAGCAGAGAAAUCCAGUAGUUUGCGGAUCAUUUUUUAAUCAGAUCUGGCUCAUCAAAGUAUAGUACUUGGGAUAUAAUAGGAGCAUAGUAAAUGUUUAGGUGGACGAUUCAUGUAGAACCGCUCUAUGUUUGAAACAUUCCAUGAGCCUUAAAUAAUCAAGUCAGACGGGAUUUGUAAUUAUACUGUUUUGGGCUCUAAAAUCAAUGUGGAUUUAAAUUUUGUUUCUCUGUCCAUGGUCGUCGUCUUCGAAGAGUUCUCACUUGGGCACCAUUGUCCUGAUCUUAGUGCAAAGGAAUAUCUGAGCUUGUUUUCAGGAGAUGAUGAGAGUCAACAUUUUUGUUAUGGUCACUUCACACAUGGGCCUCCUAACCUUUGCCACCCAUGGUUCCCAGAAGUAAGUUAUUUGCCUUAUGAUGGUUUGGGUUGACAGGGUGAAGAUCUGUGACGGGCAGAAUUGGAAUGUCAUCUGCCUGUGUGGUUCUCAGGUAGUGCUCAGAGUCAUAUCAGGUUUUAAAAUGAUCGUUAUUAUUUUUUGAAUGACAUAAAUUUCUGCCAGGCUUUCCCUGAAUCUCAGGAAAGGCCCCAGAUCAGGGCAGUUUCCUCAGACCAUGAUUUGGUGCCUGUGCAUCUUGCUUAGAGCUUGCUCAGCAGCACACACUGGUUUGACAUCUGGCAGUCACGACUCCUGUGAGAUUGGCUUCCCCACAAAUGUGCCCUGAAAGCAUCCCUGCUGUGCCCCUUCUGUCCAAGUGUAAACACAUCACAGGAAAUGAACAAAUAAAGGCCCAACUUUUCUGGAAGGAAUCAGGAUCCCCUUACCCAGCUGGAACCCUGGGGUUUGGUGUCCAGCUUCAGGAAAUCUGACCAGCCAUUUGGGUAGAGGCUGUUGUCUUGUGGCACCUUUGUCCCUUUCUCCUUCUGAUUUCCCAUGUGCUAUCCAUACCCUCUGUUCUAAGUCAUUCAGCUGAGGAAGAUUGCUUCAGGACCUUUAAAAUGUGAAAUAAGGGUUGUCUUUCAUUGUAGAUUCAUUAGUGCAGCUGGAUUUAGUUAUUUACAGUUGUAGAUUUGGCAUUGCAUUUGGUGGGGUAGGGGACUCUUAAAAACAAUUGAAGCAGUCUAAAGCUAAAUCUGCAAAUAAGUGAAUGUUCACUUCCACUUAUUUUCAUAUGAAGAUAAAAAUAUGAAAAUGAUUAAAAUAGGUACAUGACAAGGAAGUUAAGAUAUCUGUGUAAAGGAAGAAGGCCUUUUCACUUUUCCCUUGCUGUCUUCCCGGUUUCGUUUUUUUUUUUUUGCUCCAGCCUAAUGAAUGCGUCUUAAGUAAAAAUACACACACUCUCUGUGCUUUCUAUCUGCCUCCUACCACAAAUAUCAGCUCAGCUCCUCUUUCAGAUCCACUUCAAGGAAACACAGACUUGAAAACUCUCCUGCAUGGUUUUGUCUGAACUGGCUGCCAUUCUGCAGCACACGCUGGAUCCAGUUGCUGAAGUGGGGGAACCUGAGAGGUGCGUGGGCUGGCAAGAGUGACCAUUUAGGCGCGUGAGUCAAGUGGGCCUGCGUGAAAGGAUGUAGGUAAGCCCGAAGCUAAUGGGAAAAAUAGGGGGUCGUCACUAAUUUUGAUGUGGGGAAAUCUUCUGCGUGCCAGGGUAUUUGAAUAUUUGGCAAACAGCUGGCUGGGCUCUGGGAGAGUGCCUCUUGAUUCGCCUCGUCAGAUGUUCAAAGAUAAAAUGAGGCAGCCGGCACGCCAGCACAUAGCUCAUAGCCCUGCAGUCAGUUUUGAAUUUAGAUUUGAAUUGUGAUAUCAAUGUCAUGGUGGCACAUGCUUUGAGAAAGUACUUAUAUAGAAUAAUUGAAAGAUUCAGUGUGAAGCUUCUGAAAGCCAUAAUUUAAAGUCCCAGAAGCCUCCAUAUUACUUUCACCAUUAAAAUUUAAAGUGACAGAAGCCCAAUUAUGUAUGGUUAUUUUCUUAAAUAAAAUCAUAUUUCUAACCCGACUGAAAGAUUCAUUGCUGCCCACUAAUCUCUGUCAGGAGAACCAAUCUCAGUUGCAUUCAGUGUCGGCAGCAAAGAUGGUUCCCUUUAUCUUAGGGACCGUGAAGUGACACUGAGGAAGCAGAAGUGGAAGCCCUCUGUGGAGGAGCUGGACUUGAGACGGCUGAUUUGCACUAUGAUCACCUUUAUGGAUCCUUUCUGGUGCCAGCUUCCACACUUAAUGCAGUAUAACUUUAAUAGCAGUCGACAAACCCAAGUAAGGGCUGUAGCACACAGUUUGCAAAACCUGAAUGACGUCAAAAACUGUUAAGAGGGGGCAGCUGGUUGUAAAGCUGAAUCUCACAGCAGAAUGGAGACUGGAAUAUAACUUUAAAACCUGGUAAAGAGUAUAACUUUGGGGACUAUUGAAAGAUAUGAAGCUUUUCCCUCUUUUAUGAAUUCAUGGAAAUCGAUCUACCAGAAGCCUCUUUACCUGAAGACUCAGUUUGCCAGAAAGGCAUAUAUGGCCACUGACAACGUGGCAUAAAAAUAGAUCCGUGGGAAUAUAGCACCAUGUCCCGUGCAGAAAUUUUAGUUUCUAUCAGUCAAAAGUUUGGAGCCAGACUUUUAGACUAUGCAUCUUUCCACCAAUUUCUUUGGUCUGUUUGAUUUUACUUUAUAGUGUGUUGUGAUUUGGAAACAAGGUUGUGAUGGUAGCCAGAAUUGUGAUGAAAAAUUGCACAAGGCUAAUCAAGCUUAAACCAUUGUUAUUUAUGAGAAACUUUAUUCCUCAGGGUUCCCAGGGACAAAGGAGCAUGUGAAUCAACUAAUAUUAUGUUGCACAAUGUUGAAUGAUAUCAAGAGUAUAUGUACAUCAAUACUAAUCUAAGCAAUGUCUUAUAAAUUAUACAUCACAAUUUCUCAAAAGUUUCACAGUGUGAUAAAACAUUUACAAGUACAUCUUGGUUCUGCUAAGUGUUGUUAUGACUUUAGCACAACCAGCCCUGUGGCAGUUUGCAAGUUCAAUUUUUGUUGCCUGGCAUUGGCCAUAGAUUCUUUCUACCCUUGUACAGAACUGGUAUCAUGCUGUGAAUUCAACUUCCCUUCCUUCAUCUCUGCCUCAAAAUCACUGUGGCUUUUCCUGUUCUUUCCCUUUUAUUCAUGUCUCAGUAAGAGGCAUUCACCUUCACUUGUGUCCAUGAUUCUGUCACUGUGCUUAGACUCUUCCGCUUUCCACAUUUGACAUUUUGUUGGCCUCUUCCUUAAAAAUAAAAAAAUUCCUUCCCUAUAUUCCCUACUCUGUUUUCUGUCUUUAUUCUUGACUUCUUUCUUGCCUUUGCUUUCGCACCAUUUGCUCUUUCACCUGUUGUAGUCUACGUUUGGCCACUAUAGGCGCUACUCUCUCAAGGACUACUGUCUCUGUAGGGCACAAUGACUUACCUAAUUGGUAAAUUUGGGGUGGAUAAGUAGUCCAGCUUAGCCUCCUGCCACUCUCCUUCUACUUGAGAAGGGCCUGCCUACCAGGAACCUACAUUCUCCCAGAGGAAGGAAGCCCACCCCAGACCAGCACUGUGGAGAUGGACUAAUUCUGUAGUUAAGAAAACUAGGCUUGUCUGGCUUUUAUCUCCUCUAUGCUGGUUGCAGUCUGUAACAAUGGUUAUAUUCUCAUCUGUUUUAUUUUUGUAUUUUUUCUUGUUCACAACCCACGAGAAGAAGGAAGUCUCAGUUUGGGAGAAUUGCUUAGAAACCUAAAUAAAUGAAAUAGUCUGUACAAGUAGAAAGUUAGUUUUCCUUCCCAAUCUCAUUUUCCAGAGGCUUGGCUUCUCUCUCUUUCUCUCUCUGCACUUUUGAAGAUAGCAAAAAAGUUGCCGUCUGUAAGCCAAGAAGCUGGCCCUUACCAAGAGCUAAAUCUGUUGGCACCUUGAUCUUGGACUUCCCAGCUUCCACAGCUGUGGAAAUGUAUGUCUGUUGUUUCAGUCACCCAGUCUGUGGUAGUUUGUUAUCGCAGCCCAAGCUGAGUAAUUCUUCCUGAUUUUUCUAUGCAUAUGCAAAUGUAUGUAUAAGUUUAUAAUAGAAAAAUUUUACCUGAAUGUCACAUAACAGAAAUAUACAUAGCUAUAUAUUUAUCUCUAUAUAUUGUAUCUCUCUAAAAUGGGUAUUUCUAUUUCAUAUAAUCUCUUUACACAUACAUUUAUUUGUAUACAUACACACUUGUAUUUUUUCCAAAAAUAGUAGCACACUAUCUAUACAUUUUGUUCUGCACCUUCCUCUUUUCACUAACACAUUUUUACAUCAGUAAAUAGAGACCUGUAUUAUUAUUUUUAGUGGCUGCACAGUAUUCUCCAGUUUAAAUGGUCUUUAGUAAACCAUUCUUCAACUGCUGGCCAUUUAGAUCCUUUUACACUUUUGAGGUUAUAAACAAUGCUUCAGUGAACAUGGUACUGUUUUUAUUUUUGUGAAUUCAUGCUAGUAUUUCUGUAGGAAAGAUUUCUAGAGCUGGUAUUGCUGGGUAUCUCAUAAGAUUUAAUUGAUUAGUAAUGAUCAGACACUCAGGUUGGGAAGAAUUCUGAGAGAGCUCAGAGUUUAUCCCACACUUCCAGGAAGGUUGUUUUUUCUCGCCCUGACUUUGAAAAGUACAGAGAAUGAGACUCCAUAUUCUUUCCAGUAAUGCCUUCCAGUGACUUGAAAUUGAAAUAGACUGUCAAAGAAAUAAUGGUCUGGACAAGAGAGUUGAAAGUGGAAGACUAAAUCCUAAGGCCCUUUGGUGGGCCUGUUUUGCAAAGCAACCAAGCAAUGCCAGAUAGAGGAUUGUAAGAGCUACGGCAGUCUGAUAUUUGGAUACGUGGACCUCUUGAGUCCAGCCAGACUACAAGUGAUCUUAAAAAUCUGGUUCCACUACCUACCUCGCAGUGCAUCAGGCCUGAAAGAAUAGUUGGGCUGUCUUUCACCCGGAUUGUUUUGCUUCUGUCCCAAGGCUAUUUCUAUUGCACAGAGGCAUUUGAUAGCUCAUUUACAAGCUGACCUAAAGAAAACAAAACAAACAAAACAAACAAAACAAAACCGGAUGCAACUGGAGAGAGCUGUGGCAUCCUUCCUGCUUCAGGUAGCUCCCUGCAAAGCAGGUAGAUUUGUUUGGAAUCUUUGCAAUGCUGUGAUGACUCUAAGUGGGAAAAUACUGUGUAUUAGGAUUUGGCUGUCAGAGCAGACAUAUGCUUGACUGUCACAACUUGUACAUUUUUCCCAUUCAGGGUGUACAUGGUUGCAUGUCUUUGUUAGAAACACAUGCAGUGUGGGUAGCAAAGAUGACCAUGUUAAACAUCCAGGAAUUUUCAUUUAAUGUGCAUAUUUAUACAACACUACAGAAAGGACUAGGGCGGCUUGGCUAUGUUACAUCAUUUCCCUGCUAACCAAAGAGAUUUGAAAUGGACUUUUAAUUAUUAUUACCGAUUUGCUAUGGCUGUAUUCCUUAAUAUGAACAUCUGAUUAGGAUUAAUUUUCUUUAAUUGAUGAAUAGAGCACUUAAAAUUGUAGAGUUGAAUGUGUUGUUACAUGUUGGCAUAUGUGUGUACUGUAUGUUGGCAUAUGAGGUAUGACUUUUUGCUGAAAUACAAAUUACAGACACUUAACUGUUUUAGUUUUAAGGUCACUGUUCUUUCUCCGCCUUUGUGUGGCCUUUUACAUUUGUUAAUGGAGAUAGAGCGGGGCUAAGUGACUAUUAAACUCUUUUCUAUAUACAGUAAAACCCAUUAACAUGGACCUUACUAAAUUUGGAAUUUAUGAUAAUUAGAGAGGGCUGGGUUAAAGUUUACUUUUGCAUUGUCUCUGAACCAAAUCUUUGCUGAGCUAAUAAAUAGCAUAAUACAAUUAAAGGGGAAUGGCAUUAUCGUUUUAUAAAGCAAGCUUUUCAGGCAGUCUAGAGAAGUAACGCGGGAUGGAAUGAGGUAGUGUGGCAAAAAGGCAUAGUGCAGAAGGAGCCACUUUCUAUCUGCGUGACCUUGGGCAAAUUACUUAGGUUCUCUGAGUAUCUUUUCCCUCACCUGUAAGUGGAGAUAGUUUACCUAAUUUAUGGAGCUGUUAUGAGGGUUAGAUUGAAUGUAUAUAGAAAGCGUCUGGUGUGAGUACAUACUUCAUGAGUUGCAGGUAAUUACCACCUACCUAAAAUAAUUGGUGAGCUAAUUUUAAACACUUCUCAUUUUUUCACUGAAGCGGUGUUCCACAUGUUAGGGUUUUGGAACACUAAUCUGAAAUACUGCUUUACUUUUAUUAUUGAUUGAAGGAACCCCCCAGCAGUUUGAUGUGGCGGUAAAGAACAUGAGCUUUGGAGUCAGACAAACUCAGGUUUGAAAGUAUUUCUGUAAUGCAUUAGCUACGUGGCUUUAGGCAAGUUACUUAAUAUCUCUCAGGUUUUAUUUUCUAAUUUGUAAAAAUGGGAUGAGAAUACCUGCUCCAGGACUUUUAUGAGGACUCAAUGAGAUAGUGCAUGUAAAGCGUUCAGCCUACUGAUUUUCAUGUGGUAACCUCUCAAAAUAUCACCUGUUGCUAUUAUCGUGAUCUUUUUGACAAUCAUCCAUUCUUUAGACUUUUUAAUUAAUUCAGACUCGUUUUCUUCAAUUAACCUAAUUAACUCAUUUCACUUUUGAUAUAAUCUCCAUUUUAAAUGUGGAUUUUAAGUACAUAAGUAAAAAAUUAUAGAGGCAAAAUGGCUAUAAAUAGGUAGGGUGAAAGAGGAAAGAAUAAUAUUUUAAAAGUGGGAGCGCAAGGCCUUAAGUUAGACUUAAGUUACUGAAUAGUCAAUUUUGUGCAUAAUAUUUGUGUCCUUUAUGAGAGGUCUUUAUAUUAGAAGGAAAUCAAAUUUUGUGUGUGUGUGUGUGUGUGUGUGGGUGUGGGUGUGUGUGUGUGUGUGGUAGACAGUGUGGACUGGUCACCAGCUCCUGCCAUUCACUGGAGAGAGAAGCAUUGAAAUCCAUGUUCAGUUUUAUUUUCAUCUUGCUUUCCCUGUAUGUUUCAUAGGCUGUAUGGAUGAGAAAUGUAAGCACUAUAAUGUCCUGCAUGGAGACAGUAAUCUAUCCUCCCCUUAAUGACAGGCUUACACAGUUUGUCGGAAUCCAUCACCUCAACAGAUCAGACUGAAUUACUUCAAUGACUGGCAAAUGGGUGGCACUCAUGGUGAAGUGAAAGCAGCCAGGUGUGUGUGUUUAUUAAGUGCUCUUCAAUAGAAAAAAGUGGGUUUUACUGAAAUCUCUCUCAUCCAUGCUAUUUUUGCAGAGGCAAGAAGCGCCCAUCUUCCUUUGGGAAAACAGAAGAAUGAUUUUUCUUAAGAUUCUGAAAUACUGAAAUACAAAUUCACAACCAUAAACGUGUUAUAAAAAUCAGGUUUUUGGGGCACCCUGGGUGGCUCAGUCGGUUAAGCGUCUGACUUCAGCUCAGGUCAUGAUCUGACCGUCCGUCACUCAGUCCAACCGGACUCAGUCCGUGAGUUCGAGCCCCACAUUGGGCUCUGUGCUGACAGCUCAGACCCUGGAUCCUGCUUCGGAUUCUGUGUCUCCCUCUCUCUGCCUGUCCCCUGCUCAUGCUCUGUCUCUCUCUGUCUCAAAAAAAAAAAUCAGUUUUUUUUCCCCCACAUCGUAUACAUGCACAGUGGAACCUUGUAAUAAAAACUAGAACCAAUAAUGUUGGGGCUAUGUGCCUUUGAAUUUCCAGGGAUGCCCAAUUUAGGCAGAUGAUUUUUGAAAGUGAAGUCAGUUCAUUAAGUUGGCAACCAGUGGUUUAACAUAUAUGAACUUUCAUAAAACUAAGUUCACAAGUCAGAAAAAACCUUCUGUAAGACCAGGUUUAUUAAGAUUUGGGUCAGAAAAAGCGAUCACUCUAAUGUACACCAUGUUGAUUAGUUGCAUUAUUCAUAUCUUUAUUGGAAGUACCUAAUGGUUUGUUGUUAAGGUGUGGCAUUAUGUGUCUAGAUUUGGCAUAUCAAUAGGAACAGCAAUAAUAAUUAAUUUUUAUUGGAUUCUUACUGUGUGCCGACACUGUGAUAGAAGCUGGGGCUAUAAUGGGAAGCAAAAAAAAAAAAAAGAUACAAUCUCAUGUUGGUAACAACCUGUGAAAUAGGUAUAGACACAAACAAGGCCAUAGAAUUUAAAUAAUUUGUCCCUGGUUUGAUAGGUCAUAAGUGGCAGGGCUAGAAAUACCGUGCUGUAUUUGCUAUAGCAAACUAACUUUUGCUUUGGUUAAGAGACUCCAAACAAGCUAGAAAGAGCUCCCUGACAUGGCGGAGGUGCCAUACCAGCUUUGGACUGCUUAUGCUUAUACUGUCAAGGAGGGGAGAAAUAAACUUCUGUCUUACUACUCAGCUAUCCCUGGGUGUUGGCUUCAUUCAUAUGUCUGAAGAUGUAUAAUCAUUCUUUAAAAUUUUUUAGGUUUAUUUAUUUAUUUUGAGAGAGACACAGAGAGUGAGUGGGGAGAGGCAGAGAGAGUGGGGGUGUGAGAGGACCCUAAGCAGGCUCUGCACUAUCACCACAGAGCCCCAACUGGGGCUCAGACUCAUGAACCAUGAGAUCAUGACCUGAGCUGAAACCAACGGAUGCUUAACCAGCUGAGCCACCCAGGCACCCCAUAAUCAUUCUUUUUAAAGGCAUUUCCUAGAUGUUGCACUUCUAACUCAUACUCACAUCCUACUAGCUAUACCUAUCUGCCAGGAAAAUAUAUUUUUGUAGCCAUGUACCUCUCAAAAUUUAGGGGUUCUAGUAAUGAAGGAAAAAGGAAAGAAUGGGUAUUAGAGGAUAGUUGGCAGUCUCCGUGUCAUAUGCCAAUUACGAACAUUGUUUCGAAAUAAAAUUUUCACCACGGGCUUAGACAAUGACAGAUGAGCUCAAGGCUUUGGGAUAUGCCUACGUCCAUUAUCCAUUUCUUUCCAAGUAGUAUAUCAAAGUUAUGUAUGUAUGUGUGUGUAUGUAUGUAUGUAUGUAUAUAUAUGAAUGUAUACAGUGCAUGUAUAAUAUAUUUAAAUAUAAUAUGUGAGAUAUCAUAAAUAUUACAUGAUUCUACAGUGGACUCUGGUCAUCUGCAAUUGCUAAUUCAAAAUUUCACAAGAGAAGAGCCCCCCUGCCCAGCUCUCAAACCUAAUGCAGUCUCUGAUGAACUCAGUUGCCCAUAUGGAGCUGCUUGGAAAUAUUGUGUCUUGCUCACAGAUAGACCUCCAUGGUCCUUUUUCCUGGGUCCAGCUCUUUAGGUCCUACUUUACUAGUGACUAAGAGAAAAACAAAAAAAGAAAAAUAGAAGUUAAGUUAGAGCUGGUCUUAUUAGUCUGCCGUAGGCCUUAUCUAGAGGAAGUGUUAUUGAGGAGCAUCUCCCAAGUGAAAGGCAGUUCUAUACCUGUUUUGCCUCACUGGCCAUGUGGAAGUGGAGAGAAGCAAUCUAAAGAGAGUGAGAAUCACAAGAGAUGAACUCCAAAGAUGCCACGGCCUACAGAAGUCAGAACUUUUAACCUUUUUUCCGCAUAGACCAAUAGCUUCGCUGCCUACUAAGAGGCUUGUUUGAAUCCAGUGACUUGAUUCAGUCUCUUGCCUCUUUUCCUCCAUGGGAAUGAGGCUGGGGAGUGGAGUAAGGGUAGAGAGCAUGUGGAAGUGGAACUUUGCUGUCCUUCUAGAGAUCAACAUCAAGUACUUUGAAGGCACCAUAACAAAUACAGGACAUGGCCUUUAUCCCACUUUUCUUUUUUUUUUUUUAAUUAAAAUUUUUUUUAAUGUUUAUUUAUUUUUGAGAGAGACAGAGACAGAGACAGAAUGCGAGUGGGUUAGGGCAGAGAGAGAGGGAGACGCAGAAUCCAAAGCAGGCUCCAGGUUCCGAGCUGUCAGCACAGAGCCCGACGCGGGGCUCGAACUCACAAGCUGUGAGAUCAUGACCUGAGCCGAAGUCGGUUGCUCAACUGAUUGAGCCACCCAGGAACCCCUGUAUCCCACUUUUCAAAGAAUUAAUUGUCUGGGAGCUAAUAGAUAUGAAACAUUUGGUGAAGAUUAAGUAGUUGAACUGUGUGUUAUUGAUUAUUCCAGAAGAACCCAGGUAAGAGAUAAGUCAAUGUGGAUUUGUUUCUUGGGGAAAGCUUUUUAGAUCAUGUCACAAGUGAGGUGCCAAAGGAUGAAAGGAACUAAUUAAGAAGGCAGAAAAGAGGGGGUGAUGCAUAAUGAGCUUAGAGGUCAGUGCAUCUGUGUGCCUGAAGCAGAGACUUCAUUUUGGAGACCAGAGAGUGAAGUAGAAUAGGAAAGUAGGGUACUUCAGAAUUCAGGCAGGGGUUAACCUGUAGGUAGUCAUGUAAGUUGUUUUUUUUUUUUUUUUUUAAUUAAGUUAAUGUUAACCUCUUUUAAGUUUUUAUGGAAUGAAGGGAGGAUAAAUUAGGAAAUUGAAUGAAUGAAUAAAUAUAAAGACAUUGUAGAUAUUAUAAAAACUAGCCUCUUAAGUAGAAUUUGUGUAGGCUGAGAAGACAGGGUUUCUAUGCAGUAUCUCAGUGACAUAGAUUGCCAGGGAAUAAGAGAAGUCAAGGCUAGGUGUAUCAGGGACUGGAGUCUGCCUGCACUAGGGUUAGCCCGCAGUCUAGUCCACAGUGAACAAGAGGAAGUGAUGAUCUUAGGGUUGGGUCAUGAAAGAAACUGAGGAGAUCCAAUUCAGCAGGAGACUUGGUUAACUAGAAUGUAGACAGCAGGUGAGAUUGAGUCAGGAAUGGUGGUGUCAUGGCAGGGAGCAAUCUAAUCGUAGCUGGAUCCCAGCCAGCAGCUGGAGUUCUGGAAUAGAAUCUGGGGAAGUGUAGUGUCAUGGCCCUAGUCAAGUAGGUUUAAGUUCAGGGCAAGGCACAUGGUAUUGAAGGAAAGAGGGAAACUAGUCAAGGUAAAAGCCAGCUCCAAAGAUUGGGCCAACAUGUCUAGAAGAAGCAGGGAAAUGGAGAAAUGAUGAAGCCGUGUAAACUCAGUGCAAUUCAUUGCACUUGUGGCCAAGGAAGGAAUACGGUUCCUGCUAUCUGGUGGGCUGAGGUUGCUUCUCUUUUGCUUGCCUGAUGAAGAUGGGUUGAAGGUCACAGCUGGGCUGAGCCUCUUUAGUAGAGACUUCAGGGGACCGAGCUCAGACAGAUCUUGGAGCAAAUGGCUGCAGUGGAGGCCCAGUGGAGGUAGCAUCACCUGGAAGGAAUUGAGACUAGAGCAGAGGAGAUGUAGGCAUAGCUAGGAGCCUGUCAUAUGCCAGGCAGAGGAGAUCAGGUCUUGACAAAGGGGUAGGGAGGAUUUAGUAGAAAUUCAGAAGUAAAGGGCACUGCAAAAGACAUUUCAAAUUAAGAAGAUGUUUCAGUGACAAGUUUGAUAUAAUGGGUAGAGAAGGAAAAACCUAAAAUGAUUCCAGGCUGAUAUUAAAUGCUCAUAUAGUAUGACAUUUUUGUUCAUGAGCUGGAGGGUGCUUUAAGCACAUUACUUUGCGCCUGCUUUUUUAAAAACCCAAAUAAAUAAAGUAAAUUAGUGAAUAAAUGUGUUAAGGCUAAGCUUACUUGUGUGUUUGUUGGCUUUACAUCUCAACUGCAGUGGGUCUGCAGUGGGACAUUUUAGAGAGAAAUAGCCCUUGAGCAUGUGAAUGUUUCUUGCAAAGAUGGUUUUCUUUCCUGUUCUAAGAUAGCGUUAGUAAGGUGCAUGUGCCUGAGUAUGACUGAAAAGCCUAAGGUGGGGCCUACCUGUAUCUGUCUGCUGCUAUCAAGGGGCCUUGUCUGCCGGAGGUGACCUUUGAAGUGUUUACGCUUCUUUUACUUACCUGGUUAGUUCAGAGCCUUUGCUGAAUAAAGAGUGCUCCUCCCCAGCCUGAUUGCUUCACAGCAGGAGGCUGUCUGCAGCUGUGAUUUCCUGGCCAUCCACUUUGGUGCCACCUGAUGGGACACAGGCAUGGACAAAAAUUUACUAUUCAUUAAGGGAUAGGGCUCGGCACCUCAGGAGGGGUUUAUUCCUGUUUAUGGAGGCAAGGGAAGAAAAUGCAGAUUCCUUACCUGGAUAGGGACAUUUUGUUUUCAAAAUGUAUAGAUAUGUGGUGUUUCUGAUUUUAUUAGGGCUCGGAUCUGCACCUGGGUGGCAUGGGUUUCAAAGUCAUUAUUUAAGGUAAGGAAAGAUAACUUCAAACAGCAUUAUCACCAAAGAUCUUGGUUGUAUUUUUGAAAGUUUGAGCUAAAUAAUUGUAGUGAUCACCAAAAGACCAACUGCUGUACUUCUGAAAAGUUGCUCUUAGAAAGGCUUGGAUUAAUCAUUUGUUUCCAUUUUGUUCACAGAUGUACUGUCUGUAGGACAGGGGUAGACUGAAUACCUGCUUCACUGAAUACCUGCUUCACAUCACCUUUCACAUUUUCUUAUUGGAAAGACAGCCGUUGGAGAAUCAUCUUGUUACCAUCAGCAAAAAUGCAAACAAAUCAAGACAUUAAGAAUGCCACAGUGGCCAGCAGUUAAUGAUGCCAGUGUUACACAAGCUUCGGCAAAGUUUUCAAGACAGUGUGCCUCACUAGCCAUAAAUCAGGAAAGAUUGAACUUAUCCUUUUUUGUCUCAGCUGUUCCUUAAAUCAAUGCAACCCCUCCAAAUUAAUGUGAAUUGAAACAUGCAUUGUCUUUUCAGCUUAAUUGAGUACUUACUAUGUGUGAAUCACUGCACAAAACAGGGGAGGGAAAAUGAGGGAGACAAUUAGGAUGUGUUUCCUGCCUUCAAUGGAUUUACAAUUAGUUUCAGGGCACUUUUUUUCUUCUGCUCUUAAUUAAGUGUGUCCCUAAGAUAGAAAACAAAUGAAUGGAAAAGUGUAUUCUGCAAGUAUUUUAAAUCCCUUUAAUAAAACACAAAACAAAACAAAACAAAACAAAACAAAACAAAACAAAACAAAAUAAUCUAAUGUGGGCAACUCAGGACAUCUUCCAUUUUUUUGGAGUUUCAAUAGGUAGGAUUUAUUUCAUUGAUUUUAUAAAUAUUCAGUAGAUGUUAGAGAUAUUAACACAUUAUAGUUGGAGUUAAUUGAAUUAAAUUCUUUUUUUUCCCCUUUAGGUGUAGAUUGUCUGUUGGAAAAGUAUAUUGUGUUUGUACAUUUCUUGCAGAGUAGGUAGAUGAAUUACAUCUGUUGUCUCUGUAGGCCUCUACCUUCUGUGCCCUAGGGGCCUGACAUUCUGAGUAAGUUAUUAGCGUGGGGAAGGGAAGAUUUGGAUCAAACUUGGGAAAGCUCAUGGACCCAAGAUAGGGCAGGGAAGGAGCAAAACAGACCUAGGCAGUGACUCUGUAGGAAAACUUGGCUGUUUUAGUAUUCAUUGUGUUGUCUUCUAUGUUCCAAAAUUACUGUACAGUUUUUUCAAAAAUUUAUUUCUGAUCUGGGAAUAAGUCAUGAUUUUUCCAAUGUUAAGGCACUAAUAUGACUGCAGACACCAGACAUUUUAUGUAGUGUAUGUAACACAUUUUAGUAUGUACGAACCAACAAUAGACAUGUCUUUGUCUUCAGUAGUGUCCAUCUGAAUUGAAAAUGUGCCAGCUUUUUUUUUCUUAAAAUCAUUAUCAACAGACUUCUUAAUUAAGCUGCCAAUACAUACUGCCAAUAGCACUAUGUGCCCUUUGAGAAAUGAAUCGUGUAAGUGCCGUUUCCCUCUUACUGAAUAAACAAUGUUGCUCCAUAGAAAGUGGAUUUAAAAUGUUCUUUGAAUAGGAAAUUAUAUUGCUUCUGAAAGAAUUUGAUAAGAAUUCUCAUACCUUCCUUUCUUUACUUAAUUUCCAAAAACUUUUAUUUGCUCCUCAAUAAGGAAUAGUUCUAAUUUGACUGAUAACUUUAGUUGUAUGAGUCAUCCUUAAUAGGAUGCCUGCCCCCAAACUCCUGAUGGUGAUAUUGGAUAUUUGUUAAUCUGAGUUACAAAACUAUAUUGUAUGAAACUGUAGCAUUUGUUUCCUAUUCUGGGAAAAAUUUGUGGAGGGACCAUCUCUGUGUUCCCAGAACCUAGCACAGUACCUGGUGCAU